GUGCAGCUGUCUGGGAGCCCAGGAAGUCACACCCGUCUCGCGCACUGAGCUGAAGCUCCAGCCCACGUGGCGAAUAGCGAACCCCCCGGCGCUGAAGGGAGUGCCUAGCCGGGCCCCUCCUCCAAACCAGGGUACUUGGACUAGAUGGCAGUUCUGUGUUGCAUGGCGUAUUUGAGCAUGACAAGAUGCCAGUGAGGUGUGGAGAAGCAGAGGAAUGAAAAGUGUCCUGUGCAUCCAGAAGACACACUGCCUCUCACUUUUCAUAAUGCUGGAUGGAACUGUGUGGCUAAUACAUAUUCAUAAGUCCAAGGCGAAUGUCUUAGAUAAAUGAACAAACAUCACAGCAUUGCUUGCUGGGCGGCUCGGCUAAUGCUUCAGAAUUAGUAAUGUGUUAUUUACAGAAGUGAAAUAUUUGCUUCCCUUGGCACCUUCUCCUACAUGUAAAUUACUGGCCCAUUUUAAAUUUUUGUGUGUAUUUAACUAUUUUUGGUAGUUAAAUAUGAUCCAGCAAUAUUUUAGUUUUAUAAGAUAUGAAUCUUAAAAAUUUUUAUUUUCUCAAAUGGAAAUCUUCACAUUGCAGAGAUAAUGACUUUGAAGUAGAUUUCCUGCACCACCCCCCAAGGCCCCUUCUUAUAUCCAUGUAUUUACUUGUAUUCCCACCAAUAAGGAGCACUUACCCAUGGGAUGCUAAUACUUUUUAAAACAAAUGGUUCUAUUUUCAGGACUUCACAGGCAAUGAGGCAACCUAUCUGUUAAUUGAGGAGGAGCUGACACUAUUAAAUUUGGUUCUAUAUGGAAGUGAUGAAAUAGAAAAAGCAUUGCUUGUUCUUCUGAAGAAAUUUCUAUUUAUGAAUUAAGGAAGUCAACACUCUUUACUUAGGUGUGGGGCUUUGUAAGAUGGACCCCCAUAAUGCUGGGAUUUUAACUAGCAUGCAUCUGUGCAGGUAAACACUGCUGCUCUAAGUUCAUGAGUGUAACAGUCAUGUUACCCCUAGAACAUGACACUCCUCCCUGUUGUCAAACUCUCACACCUUUUCUGUCUCCUUCCUAUGAUGUUUCCUGCAUACUGAAGGAGGAAUGCCGAUAUAGACAUUGAAUCCAUGAUUGAGCAUUCUUCACCACUUAGUCUGCAACUCUUGGCCAAUUAUAAAUCUGUGUAUUGAUCACCACACACCUCAAAGAGAAUCUUCUCUUGCCGAGGCCAAGAGAAGAUUACCCUUUAAAACAGUUUAAUAAAAACUUUCAGUGACACAGGUUAAUUCAAGAAGAAAUUCCAUGGGAAUUUCAGAGAAAAGAUGGAAAAAUCCAGAAAAUCCAACUGAGAAGCUCAGUAAUGCUUAGGGUUCAAGCCAUAGCUAAUGGGUUUAAUAUCCCAGAAACUGUUUCCUGUAUAAUAAGGCAACAUUAUUCUUUUUCUUUCUUUCUUUGGCUUUUUUUUUUCCUUAUGAAAGUGGACUCUGGUUUAUUUGCUAUCGGGAGCACACAAAAGUCCUUUGAAUGGCCGGUCUGUUCCGUUUCUCUCCAUGUCCCCUUUCUCUCACAGGAGUCUUGCUUUCCCCCUUUCUGGCCCCACACAUACUUUCCUUAAAACAAACAUCCUUGUUUUAAAAGCAAAGAAGACUCUGCUCUCCAUUCUUGUUUGACUUCCCACACAUUGCUGUUAACGAUUCCCCAAACACAGAUGGAAGACAGGCUUGGACUCUUCCACUGUAAACUAUUUCACAAGAUCUCUGCCCUUUAAAUAUUUUGAUUUGUUCUUCUGGAAAGAAACUUUCCCUGUCAGCUCCCCCCCUCCUUCCCUGCUCCCCACGUGCUCACCACCACUAAGAAUUGGGUAUUUGUGAAUGUUACCAUUUUGUUAGUUUCAUCCUUUUAGCGAUACAGGGCUAAAAACAAACACUAAUCUUGCAUUCAAGAUUACUAUGUGCAUCUAGGAUGCACCCAUAGAAAAGAAACAUUAUUACAUUAGUUAAUUAUCAUUCAUAAUUUUCUGUUUUACCAAUGAGCUAAGAAAGGCAUGGCCAACAUUCUCAGUGGACUGGGGAAUUUUGGACUGCACUUUGUCCUUAUUCCUGGAGUUUAAGACCACUGGCUUUUCAUGCCGUCAGAAGUGAUGUAGAUGUAGAGUGUUCCUUUUCAAAGGGAUGGGCUUCACCUUGUCACAACCACUAUUGCCAGCAUGAAAUAUUAAAAAGCUGUUGAGCAUAAUUCCAAAAUAAUCUAAUGCGUUUACUUUGAAAAGGUUUAGUAUAGAACAAAAAGUAUAUGGUUCAGAGAUUACUCAGAAAUGCAAAUGCCUGAGAACUUGCCCUUGGAUCUGCUGUCAUGUCCUUAUCGCAACCAUGAUCUUAACUUUAUCUUAAACCAGAAUCAACUGUAUACUUCUUCUAAUGCCAAUAUUUAUUAUCUCGUGAUUUUUUCAGCAUUGCUACUUGCUUGAAAAACUUGAGGCACCUCUAAUUUAAGAACAUUCAUUGCACCAAAUUGCCUAAUCUGAGAGAAACACAUUUUUUUCUUUCCCUCCCUUCCUCACUCCCUUCCUUUCUUAAAAACACAUGCUUGGAAGUAAAAAUAUAUAUCAUUAAAAUUUCAAACAACUUUGAAGAUUUCAUGUUGAUACAUGAUGCAUACUGUCCUAUACCUUAAAAUUAGAACACAUCUAAGAAUAAAUUUAAACUGAUUUUAAUGUUUCUAAGCUUCUUGUAAUUUAUAGAUGAUAAAGUUCUGGCUAUGUAUAAUACAUAUUUCUCUCUCGAUAUUUAUAUGUAUGUGUGUCAAAGGAACAUAGAAAUAUUUCAUUAACAGUACCACUGAUACUGAGUAGACACACAUACACAUACACCAAACUUAAAAAUCUAUAUCCCAAAAUAUUUCCUGUUAUAUAUUUUUUAAUUUUCUCCUUUAAACUUAUGUAUUAUACACUCAAUAUUGAUGCCCACAUAUCAGUAUAUCUAAAAGAGAUAUAUGUAGAGAGAAGUAGAUAUAGUGAGAUCUCUAUUAUAUAGCAUAAUCUUAUAUAAUUGAGUAAUUAUACAGCUAUAGGGAUAUAUCUAUUUUUAUACUUUUGUAUAAGAAUUUAUAUGCACUAUGAUAAAUAUAUUUAUACAUUUUGAAUAUGUGUAUCAGAAACAUCAAUUAUAUAUUUAUGUUAUACUAGUAUCUGCAUAUCUAUGUUUAUAAACAGAAAGAUAAAAUAUCAACAAAUGAGGUCUCACGAUAUAUGGAUUCUUAUUCUUCUGUUCUUGACAAGUAUUAUAUGCGCAAACAUGUAUGUGUCCUCAGACAUACAUGUCGUCUACCUAAUACUGUCCUUUACCAAAUUUACUUGUGUUUUUUCUAGGCAUGAGGUAGCAUUGCAUCUCGUUUGAAGUUAGAUGAAGAGAUGUGGCUUACAUGGCCAGUGGAAUGUGAGCAGAUGUAGUGCAUUUCACACACAGGUGGAAGGUCCAAAAGCCACUGUUUAGCUUAUGUCAUUAUCUGCACUAUGGCGACUGUCAAGCACGUAUUGGACUGACAUCUUUGUCAGGGUGGGUUUCUGAUUGGUUAGGAUACACAGACAUUUCUAAUACCCUGAAACAGGCAAGAUUGGCAGGAAAUAAACUUUUGUUGUACAAAAUUGCUGCAAUAUGUGUGGUGGUGGUUAACCCAGCACGAAAAUACAACCCAGCUUGAGUGUUGGCAAACUUCUCCUGUAAAAGGCCAGAGAGUAGGCAUUUUGGCUUUUAUGGCCUACAUAUGGUCUCUAUAAUAUAUUUCCUCAGUCUUUUUUCUUCUCAUAACAAACAAAAUUCAAAAUACAUUCUUAGGGGUACAUACAGCCCAUAUGAAAGUGGACUACAGUCCAGGCUAACCCAGUGGACUAUAGUUUUCUAACUGUCAUCUAAUGACUUCUUGAGAUAAAGACAGGAAAGUGAGGGCCAGGAACCAGGCCCUUGGUUAAGAGCACUUGCUUCCUUUGCACACCCUAGUUUAGUUCAGAGCAUCCACAUCUGGCUACUUACAAAAGCUGUAAUGCCACCUCCAUGGGGUCCCACACCAUUGUCUGAAUGCCACAAGCACCUGAAUGUACAUAGAUAUGGUAACAUGCACAGAGGCAAACACACACACACACACACACACACACACACACACACACACACUGAGACACAGCACGUAGAUAUAUACAUACAAAUAAAAAUAAAUAAAAAAUCAGAAAUGAGGAUGUACCUAUUUAGAAAAAAGAGGACACACUUCUUGUUGCUGUCCAAACCACAGUUAACAUUUCAGUUCAAACAAUUUAUAACAGCAUAUUAAAAAAAAACCUAUGUAGAAAUUCUUCAUUGUCCAUUUCAUUUACUUUAUUUUUACAUAGAAUGUCAAAUUCAAAUGGAGCUCUGUGGUGACAGAGCAUAAAGUUUCUCAAGGUAUUUCCUUGAGCAUGAAGAUGCUACACACAAACAGACAGAUACAAGAUGGAGAGUUGCCUCAACAUAAAAAAUUACUCUACAUGCUACAUCCACAAGCUCAUUUUAGCCUUAUGUCUGUCGAUAUGAAAUGGAAUGCCCACUCCUUGGAGCACACUGCCUUCUUUGCUUUUGUCUUGUUAUUGAGGACCUAGAGUUUGAGGCAUUGCCAACACGGGAGGUCUGUGUCAACUUUUCAUGUUCUCCUAAGUAUCUGUGUUUGGCCUUAUGAUCUGGCUCUAGGUUUGUAAUAUAUCUGGACAGUUUGUUUGGUCAAUCAGGGAUUGCACUGCAUGUGUGAGUGAUGUCAAAUAACCUCUGAGAGCAUAACACUGUCAAAAUUAUCUUGGUGUCAUAAGAAGCACACCCUGGAGAUGGAAGGACUUCCUUGAGUUUUUUUCACCUUUCCAGAUCAGUUGUUUUAUACGACUGAAAAGAAUUGGUAGUAGCAGUUUCUGGAAACUGUCAGGGUUUUAAAAGCAACAAACAGGGCUCAUCAUGGAACUUGUUACCUGUGAUGGACGCCCUGCUCCAGUGGAUUGCUUCCCCUUCGUACACCAUCAUCAUCUUCCCAUGUUGAGCUUUUUAAACUCAAUUUUGGAACUGUACAGUGAGAAUCAAGUGUUUUUCGCUUACAGUUACAUCUGAAGGUUGUAACAAAAUCAAGAAAUGGUCCAUGGGACUACAACCCCAGUCCAUGGAAUGUGCCUCCCACACUCAGGGUGCCUUCCAUCCUAAAUUAAACCUUCCUGAAAACAUCCUUCUGGACACACUGAGGGGUGCGUGCUCUUGAUGAUUUUAAUCCUCUCAAGUUGGUCAGCAAGAUUAAUGAUCACACAUUCCAUGGAGACAAGAAAUAAUGGAGUCUAUCUUAACACCCUAUUACAGCAAUUUUUUCCUACUCUGCAGUAGAGAAAUACUUGCUGAGGAUUCUUUAGUCAAGAAAACAUCAGUGCAGAUGCUUCCUCACUUCAUAUGUAUAUAUUUCAAGAUUUUUACUAAAAGUCUGCUGUUCAACAAAUAACCAUGUCGGAAAAAGUCGUUCUGCAGAACAUCAUGUGGAGAGACAUAUUUGAUGAACACUGGUAGAAAUUGAUCAGCUAAUUUUGAGUGCUUCCUAUGGUUAUGAAAGUUGAUGUUAUAGAUGCACCAAGCCGCAUGUGCAAGACAUCCCACCUCCCAAUGUUGAAACAUCAUGUCAGUAAGUUGUUGAUGUUGCUGUUCUGGUUUUGAGACGGGGCUGCAUGUAGUCCAGGACCUGCUGGACUUACUAUGGAGCUAAGGAUAACUCUUAGUUACUAAUCCUCCUGCCUCCAUUUCUUGAAUCCUGGGACUACAAAGCAUGCAUUACUACACUUAGUUUAAGUGGUAGAACUAAACUAAGCACAGAACUAAACAGAGCACAGAACUCUGUUUUGUACUUAUGAGACAAGGACUCUACUAACUAAACUACACUGUCACUCCCAUGUUACAUAUAUAUUACAGUAUAAUUACAUUAUUCAUCCUUUCUCUUCCCUCCCUUCCUCCCAAACUUCCCAUAUAGCUUAUCCUCCUUUGCCUUCUUUCAAAUCCAUGGCAUCUUUUUAAUUGAUGGCUAUUGUAUGCACUAGCAUGCAAUAAAUUCAUGAAUUUAUGGACUGUGAAAAAUACAAACUGAUUGGGAAUCUUUUCUUCCUCCUAGGGAACAGUAGGCCUAUGUGGCCGUUGUUUUUGGAAUAUUACUCUAGUUUCAGAAGUUUUGGAAAGCUAUGAGUCAUUUAUGCUAUUCACUAAUAUAAUGAAUCUUAGUCUUAUUUAAAUGUUUGUUUUAAUAGUAUUUAAUCAAUGAUUUAAGAAUAAGCUAAAUAGGAAAUUACUAUAGUCUACAUUACUGUAACUUGCUAACAAUCUGAGCUCAUGCCAACAUUAUAAAUUCUAUUGAAUGGUCUAGUUUGAAAAGCUCUGUUCUGGAACUAGUCUAGUCCCAAGAAGAGCACUGGGGAUAAUGGGCUUUUGAGGACAUAGAUUAGAAAUGAGUGGAGCUGUAAGCAACUGUAAAAAAAUAAUAAUAAUUAAUAAUAAUAAUUCAAGGCUGGGUCUGAAAUUGAUGGAUCUGUGGCAUCAUGAGCAAUAAUAAUCAGAACAGCUUGAUGAGUGUACACACAUGCUAAAUGUCUGACAGCUUCUUCAUUCAACAAUGUUCACAGCCGGACAAGAAAGGAUGCACUAUAUCUUUUCUGCAAAAAGGAAGAAAGCUUUAGCGUUGAAGAAACUUGCUCAACAUCACCAUGUUUAUAGCAGGUAGCACCGUGAAGGUAAUAUUCUACUUCAGUGAUGGUUGAUUGAGUCCUGGACUGCAUGGCUGCUGACAAACUGAGCUUAAUAAAGUAUGCAAAUGAAUUUUCAGUAGUUUUAAAGCUAUACUUCAUGUUUCCAGUUUUCAAACAGUUCCAUGAAAAUCAAUUAACUUUUUUAAUUAAAAAAAAAGAUGAUGUACUUACACAGCAUCAGGCAUAAUACUGGUGCAUCACAAAAACACUCUGAUACACUCAUCAAUUCAGUGACGGAAGUACAUAUUACCAUUACUAAUAUAAAAAUGUCAAGCUCAGAGAGGUAAAGAAAGUUGCUUCAGAUACAGAAAGUAUGUGACAAAGAUACAGUAUCAGCAGAAAGUAGCUAUGCAACUUCUGUUCUGAUAUUUUCUUUGAGGAAGAUUGAAUAAUAGUAGGAUUAUGACAAUAACAACAGAUAAUAUCUUAGAUUUUACCCAUGACAAACACUGUUUAAACACCCUUUGUACUUCCAUAAGUGUCGUGUGUGAAAACAUUCUUUUACUACUAUUCUGCAAAUGAAGUAAAUAAGUAUAAAAGGUAUUAAAUAAUUAUCCACCUAAUUGACAGCUAUAAAAAGCCAAUAGUGAAGUAGUCUGCAUUGGACAAAAUCUAAGGUCAUACCACAAUAUUAUAUUUUAAAAAUAAACAAAGACCAAAUGCUUACAAAAGUCAUAAGAUUUGGAAAAACAUUUCCAUAUUCUGGGUACUCUGCCUAAAUCCCAUCUCCAAUUUAGUACUCAAAAGAGGUCAGCAACAUUAUGGGAUGGAUAUACUAUGCCAAAAGUCCUUUAGGGAAACAAAUAUUACCUAGAGUCAGAAAUGCAGAGAAUGGAGCAUACAGCCUCAAAGUUCUCCCGAAAUUGAACACUGAAUAUUUUUCAUCUAGUCAGUAAAAGUCAUAAUCUUAUUGAGAUUUCUCUAAGGUAGUUACAGCCUUUAUAAAAUGGUGGGAUUUAUUUAAAACGUGUGUGCACUCAGCCAUAAAAAUAAAGUGGAGAACAAUGCAAAUCAAAUUGUAUAAUUUGUUCAAAUGCAUGUCUCUUUGGUCACACCUUCUUAAUGAAUAGAAGCAGACAAGCAAGGCAGCUAAUAAGUUAUUUUAAUAGGGUGAUGUAACGGUGUGUGAACUGUUACCUCCUGGGAGAGUGACUGACAGAUUACUGGUCUCAUUACUGUGUAGAUUAGUCUCAGGAAUUCAUUAGUGCCCAGUGUGGCAGCUCUGCUCAGUGCCCUUAAUUUGAAGAAAGAGACAGGAGGCCGGUGUGCCCAUGCAACUCCAAAGGCGGAUGAUCUGGAGUUGAAGGCUUUUAGAGCAAAGGACUCUCCUGAGAAGAUGGCAAUUAUUCAUGGUUUUUUUUUUUUUUUUCAAGCCAGUGGUGACAGCUCUCUUUCCUUUAGUCUGUAUCAGUACAUUAAAAAAAAAAAAUUGCUACAGGCAACUGGAUUUCAUGUUACCUUGGAAGAAAGAGAGCUAAUGCAGAGUAUUUCAAAGGUAUUAUCUGUAUGGCUGAGCUUAAGUAUAAACAAUUUGACUUUACAGAAGGAUGAAGGCAAACAGAAAUAGCAUGGAAAAGUGUAAUUUAUCAGUAACUCUAGCAUUUAAUUUUUAUGUAAUAGGUUUGCCCCCCAUCGCCAAAGCUUUGUAUUGAUUGAUUUUAAAAUCUUUUAUAUGGUAUUUCUACCACAGGUAGGAAAACCAUUUCUCUGAAGACGCUUUAUAACAAACAACAAUAUUCUAAUCGUUGGGACAGGAAACAGAAUCCUCAAAACAUUGCUCACAUUCUAUUAAAAAGAAACUUUCCAACUUUGACUCUAGCUCUUAGAAAUAAAUUCAUAUUACAAGCAACAAUACCCAUGUAGGAUUUUAUAUCUGAAACCAAAUGUUGCCAUUCCUAUGAUAUAAUAUUUCUUUUUUUGUUCUAUUCUAAUCUCUUAAUUCAUAGCACUGUAUAGUAUCAUAUUUCUUUUUAAACUUAUAUUGUUCAAACUGUUGAAUCUAUUUUAAAAUUAGUUUCAAUUUUAUUUUACCAUUAUCAAUAAUACAGGAUAUGUACAUUGAAAAACUACAGAAUAACCAUCUCAGGGGAAAUUUUUUUCAUGUUAAGUUUUGUAAGAAAAAUUACUGUGUACUUACACAGCAUCAGGCAUAAUAUUGGUCCUUCACAAAAACACUCUGACACACUCAUCAAUCCAGUGAUGGAAGUACAUAUUACUAUUUCCAUUACUAAUAUAAAAACAUCAAGCUCAGAGAGGUAAAGAAAGUUGCUUCAGAUACAGAAAGUAUGUGACAGAGAUACAGUAUCAGCAGAAAGUAGCCAUGCAAUAAAUAUUGUUUGAACAAAUAGUGCAUUAUUUGCACACACAAUCUUGGCUGCAAAGGUGGUUUAAUUUUGUUAAUAACAGUGACUUCUCCCAGCAAUAACUGCAGAACAGAAGACACAGGCAGGCUGGUUAUCAACAUUCGCUCCUGGGAUCUAGUGAGAGCAUCCGUGUGCCCUCUCUCAAUCAUCCUAUAGACACAGGGCCACUCACACUAUGGUUGUGGGCUCUGGAUAUACUAUCUGAGCUCAUAGGUUGCCUUCUAUUCUUAUUAACUGCAUAUAAAGCUUGAUUAAAAUUUCUGUGCAUAUUGUUUAAAUCUCUUAUAUCAGUAAAUAAUAUAUAAUAUAGAUGUGUUUGGAAGAUUACAAAUUUUAGCAAUUUAGAACAAUUUCUGACAUCUGGCACACAGUCAAUCAUUGUCAGCCAUUAGCACAGUUAUACUGAGCAUGUUUAUGACUCUAUUCGGCUGGUUCUUCUUCAAGAGACUGGAACAGUGACUUCAAACUCUUACGUAUUUUGUAGUUGGGAACCCAGGCUUCUUUUUCUUUGGCUUUACUUUUAAGAAUUCAAAUUCUCAAGAUGGUAUUCUCUUUGUUUUUAAGAGAACCUGCCAUUGACCUCCUCUCAGACUUACAAAGAAAUAGGUCCCUAACUCUCCCUCACAAGGGAGUACCUGAAGAUCAGCCCUGGAUAUGGCUGUGUUGCUAUCUUUGCAGCUGAAUGGCAGUUUACAGCACUCAAGUCUGAGUCUCACUUUAUUAGUGUCCAAGGGUAACCACUCUAGCACAUCUUUCAGAAGAUGUUGAGUUAGAACAAUAAGGUCAAGAGCAGAUGAGUCAGCUUGGUUGUAUAGAUUGAGUGACUUAAAGCAAGCUAGAGUGGGACGUUCACAAAGAUUUUCUAUAGAAACAUACUCUUGUUGUUUUCCUUUUCAACUCUCCUGGCAAUUGUUGGUGAUAAAUGGAUGCUCGGAGGUUAUCUUUGACUUUUCUUUCUCAUUGGAUACUCCAUCAUGAUGUCAGCCAGUCUCUUUCAUGAAGGUAGGUAUGUAGUUAUUGGCCAGAGUUUAUCAGUUCUAUUUCUAUUCAUCUCAAACCCUGUUAACAGUCUAUGUGUUCUUAAAAGGAACAAAUAAGGUAUGGCCAGAAAUUAAGCAUGAGCCUAAAAGUAGCAGAGUAACAGCAAAGAAGUUGCCAGUACUGGGAUGACCACCAAAAUUGACUUGCCUGCUCUGCAUUGCCCCUGUGCUCACAGAGCAAAAGGAAGUCAUGUGUCCUUGCUUCGGAAAGCUGGGGUACAAAUCAAUAUCUGCUUGUUUUUAUUAUAAGCUAAAACAUUAAUGCCUAUAUUUACUUAUUAUUUAAUUGCAUUUAGUUAUCAAUUAAUGAGUAUCACAUAAUAAUUAAAAAUUUGUGUCAAAAUAUGACUUCAAUGACAAGUAAAAAUUGUUUUUACCAGCACAAGAUGACAAUGCAAUAUUUUUCAUUUUGUUGGUAUAUUAGUCAGGAUUCUCUAGAGAGACAAAACACACACACACACACACACACACACACGAUAUGUUAGAAUGUCUUAUACUGUGUGGCCCACCUAGUCAAGCAAUGGCUGUCUAGCAAUGGAAUGUCCAAGAAUCCAGGAGUUAGUUGACCAGUCCAUGAGUCUGAAUGUCUCACCUGGUCUGCAAUAUAUGCCAUAAUCUCAAAGUAGAUUUUAUUGCCAAUGAAGGAAUGGAGUUGAUCAUGAUAGUGAGAGUUAACAGGCAUGGAGAGCAAUCUUUCUUUGCCCAUGCCCUUUAUAUAGGCUGUCAGAAGAAAGUGGCUCUUUCCACUUAGAAAGAUCUGGAUCCAGAUUAGAAGUGAGUCUCCCCACUUCAAAUCAUUUAACUAAAGAGGUAUACCCAGACAUUUUGGUUUUAGUUAAUUUCUAUUGUAGUUGACAACCAAGAGCAGCUGUUACAAGUUCAGCCCUUGUCAACUUGAUACACAAUCAUAUUUUCUUACAUUAUGCCUAAUUUCCAAAUGAAAACAAUAACCAGAUCAUAAUUAUAUCUAAUACGGUGUAACUGGCCCUUGUAUAACAGCAAACAUGAUUAUGGACCUCUGUUCUGUCCUCUGUUGAAACAUGGUGGCACAUUCUUACUCCAAUUGUAGCACUGUAAAAAUAGAGACAGGCAGACACCGAGGUGUGCUGGCGUCAGCCUGCUCUAUUAAGUGAGCCUCAGCUCCCACCAGAGAUUUUCUCAAAGAACAUGGUGAGGGGGGAAAAGUGGACAGCCUUUGAAGGACACCAGAGAUUGAUCUCUGGCCCUGACCUACACCUGACCUACAAACACACAUACACACAAACACACACACGCUCGCAUACACACACAUGCACCCAUGCACAAGCAUGUACAUAUAUGUUCACAAAGCCUCACACACGCUUAUAAAUGCUCACACACUCAUUCAUGUAUAUUCAGAUAGACAACCAUGCAUGUACACACACAUGCAUACACACACAUACAUGUACACAGAUAACUUAUGCAUACACACAGGCAUACACACUUGUAGGCACAUGCACAAACCUAGUGAAUGAAUAUCUUUUACUACUAUGUAUCUUUAGAAAUAAAGUCUUAACUUCAGUGUAUAAAAAAAUUUUAAGUUGCUCAGAUCCUAUUUGUUUUGUGUAAUUUUUGUGCAUGUGAUACAACACAGUAUUUAUAUCUUCACAGGAGUUAUAUAUUAUGAACAUCUUACUUAACUCUAUUUACUGACAAUGUAUCAUACAAUGUUCUAGGCAGUGGGAAACAGCAAAUCUUUUUUAAAAAAACUGAUUCAUGCUUAACAAUCAGUAAAUUCUGUAAAACUAUGAAUGUCUAAUGUUUUUAGACUGUACAGAAGAACAACUAGAAUUAUACUCUCUGAAGUUGCAUAUAGGAUAUUUCAUUAUAACUCUAAGUAAUUGGUGUUAUUUUAAGUUUAUUUUGAUACUUUUCUAAAAAUGAAAAAUGACACCGCUGUUUGUGGGUUAGUAGCUGGUGGGAAUUCUUUUUACAGCUGCCUGUGUCAUUUGUCUUAAUCAGACAGCAAAUAAGCCUCCAUUUCUUCAGGACAUUAAGAUCACUGUGUGUCAUUUCUAUUCUGGCCCCUGGAAUUUCAAAAAAUAUAGCUUAAGCUCUAUGUUUUUCCAUCCAUGUGGAAAAAUAUGCAGAAUUGCUAAAUUCUAUGUUUCAAUUCAAGUACUUAAAACAAUACGUUUAAAAAAAAAAGCUGGUAUAACUUCACAGAAAGCGAGGUUAUGUUAUUUGUGUGUUUUAGCAGAGAAAUGUAAAAUGUGUGAAAGUUCUGUAACAUAGAAGCAACUAGUGUUCACCCUUAAGCAUAUUGCUGACCUCUCUGAGGCUGUAGUGUUGCUCUGCCAAGUACAUAUAUGAAUAAUCAGUAUGUAUUAUAAGUGUAUACACACAUACAUAUGUAUGUAAGAAAAGAAAUGGUGUUUAUUGAAAAAGUAGUUAUCUUUUUAAAGCUUAUGUGCAUGGCUUACAAAAAUUAGUGAAAGAUCAAAGUCUACCCAGAAUGAUAUCAUAACAAGGUAGUAUGAAAUCAGAUCAUGUGACAAGCUGAAUAUUUACACAAGGGGGUCAGAAAGCAGCUGGCUCUAUGUAAACUAAAGAAAUCCAACAAACAUUCUAAGACAGCUCUCAUUUUUUUUAUGAUUUUUUAAAUUUUCAAUACAGGGUUUCUCUGUAUAGCCCCGGCUGUCCUGGAACUCAUUCUGUAGACCAGGCUGGCCUCGAACUUAGAAAUCCGCCUGCCUCUGCCUCCUAAGUGCUUGGAUUAAAGGCGUGCGCCACCUCUGCCAUGGUUUGGUUUUUUUGUUUUGUUUUGUUUUGUUUUGUUUUGUUUUGUUUUGUUUUGUAGUUCUCAUUCUUGAUCUGCAAUGGACAUAGCAUCAAGCAUCAUUUUUAAGUAAUGUACUAUCAUUUUUACAAAUUUUACAAAUUACAGAUAUUACAAAUAUUUUCUAAAACACAAGAUCCUAAUUUGGGUGUGUGUGUGUUCCCUAAAAAUAACAAUUUUUGUUAUCCUGCAUAAAAUUAAAAAUAUGUUUAUUUCAUCUUUGUGACUUAUUUUCUUGAAAAUUUCAUUUUAAAUUCAGUAUAAACAACUUAUCUCUAUUAUUUAGAGGAAACAGUUUUACAUUUAAUAAAAACAACAUUGGGCUAUUUAUACAUGUUUUAUUUUUAGUCUGAGGAUCCGAGCAAUUUUUACUUUCUUAGCCAUUGAAAUCAAGACUCUUUUGCUGAACAUAUGACACACUUUGGUCAUGGGCUUUAGAUAAACCUAGCAGGAACUGACUUGGAAGUCUUUUCCAUGGCCACCUCCAUAGUAUAGAAAAGAUGCUGUGCCUGCUGCCAAAAGAAAAUUAAUCAGAUCCUUCCCAGCUGUAAGAUUUUGAACCGAAACAAUAUAUCCUCCCAAAAUACAGUAGUGACACUUACAUUUUUGGUAGGCAACAGAGGUAUAAUUUGACUUUUUUUUAAUUAGGUACUUUCUUCAUUAACAUCUCCAGUGCUAUCCCAAAAGUCCCCCACACCCUCCCGUCCCACUCCCCCCACCCCCACCCCACUCCCACUUCCCGGUCCUGGCGUUCCCCUGCAAUGAGGCAUAUAAAGUCUGCACAACCAAUGGGCUCUGUUUCCACUGAUAGUCGACCAGGCCAUCCUCUGAUACAUAUGCAGCUAGAGACACGAGCUCCGGGGGGCACUGGUUAGUUCAUAUUGUUGUUCCACCCAUAGGGUUGCAGAUCCCCUCAGCUCCUUGGGUACUCUCUCUAGCUCCUCCAUUGAAGGCCCUGUAAUCCAUCCAAUAGCUGACUGUGAGCAUCCACUUCUCUGUUUGCCAGUCUCAGCAUAGUCUCACAAGAGACAGCUAUAUCAGGGUCCUUUCAGCAAAAUUCCACUAGGGUAUGCAAUGGUGUCAGCGUUUGGAGGCUGAUAGCGGGAUGGAUCCCCAGAUAUGGCAGUCUCUAGACAGUCCACCCCUUCGUCUCAGCUCCAAACUUCCUCUCUGCAACUCCCUCCAUGGGCGUUCUGCUCCCAAUUCUAAGAAGGGGCAAAGCAUCCACACCCUGGUCUUCAUUCCUCCUGAGUUUCAUGUGCUUCGCACAUUAUAUCCUAUAUCUUGGGUAUUCUAAGUUUCUGAGCUAACAUCCACUUAUCAGUGAGUACAUAUCAUGUGAGUUCUUUUGUGAUUGGGUUACCUCACUCAGGAUGAUGCCCUCCAGGUCCAACCAUUUGCCUGGGAAUUUCAUAAAUUCAUUCUUUUUAAUAGCUGAAUAGUACUCCAUUGUGUAAAUGUACCACAAUUUUUGUAUCCAUUCCUCUGAUGAGGGGCACCUGGGUUCUUUCCAGCUUCUGGCUAUUAUAAAUAAGGCUGCUAUGAACAUAGUGGAGCAUGUGUCCUUCUUACCGGUUGGAACAUCUUCUGGAUAUAUGCCCAGGAGAGGUAUUGCGGGAUCUACUAUGUCCAAUUUUCUGAGGAACUGCCAGACAGAUUUCCAGAGUGGUUGUACAAGCUUGCAAUCCCACCAACAAUGGAGGAGUGUUCCUCUUUCUCCACAUCCUCGCCAGCAUCUGCUGUCACCUGAAUUUUUGAUCUUAGCCAUUCUGACUGGUGUGAGGUGGAAUCUCAGGGUUGCUUUGAUUUGCAUUUCCCUGAUGAUUAAGGAUGCUGAGCAUUUUUUUCAGGUGCUUCUCAGCCAUUCGGUAUUCCUCAGGUGAAAAUUCUUUGUUUAGCUCUGAGCCCCAUUUUUUAAUGGUGUUAUUUGAUCUUCUGGAGUCCACCUUCUUGAGUUCUCUCUAUAUAUUGGAUAUCAGUCCCCUAUCUGAUUUAGGAUAGGUAAAGAUCCUUUCCCAAUCUGUUGGUGGCCUUUUUGUCUUAUUGACAGUGUCUUUUGCCUUACAGAAGCUUUGCAAUUUUAUGAGGUCCCAUUUGUCGAUUCUCGAUCUUACAACACAAGCCAUUGCUGUGCUAUUCAGGAAUUUUUCCCGUGUGCCCAUAUCGUCAAGGCUUUUCCCCACUUUCUCCUCUAUAAGUUUCAUUAUCUCUGGUUUUAUGUGGAGUUCCUUGAUCCAAUUAGAUUUGACCUUAGUCCAAGGAGAUAGGAACGGAUCAAUUUGCAUUCUUCUACACGAUAACAACCAGUUGUGCCAGCAACAUUUGUUGAAAAUGCUGUCCUUUUUCCACUGGAUGGUUUUAGCUCCCUUGUCAAAGAUCAAGUGACCAUAGGUGUGUGGGUUCAUUUCUGGGUCUUCAAUUCUAUUCCAUUGGUCUACUUGUCUGUCGCUAUACCAGUACCAUGCAGUUUUGAUCACAAUUGCUCUGUAGUAUAGCUUUAGGUCAGGCAUGGUGAUUUUUUGUUAUCCUAGGUUUUUUGUUAUUCCAGAUGAGUUUGCAGAUUGCCCUUUCUAAUUCGUUGAAGAAUUGAGUUGGAAUUUUGAUGGGAAUUGCAUUGAAUCUGUAGAUUGCUUUGGGCAAGAUAGCCAUUUUUACUAUAUUGAUCCUGACAAUCCAUGAGCAUGGGAGUUCUUUCCAUCUUCUGAGAUCUUCUUUAAUUUGUUUCUUCAGAGACUUGAAGUUCUUAUCAUACAGAUCUUUCACUUCCUUAGUUAGAGGAAUGGCAAGGUAUUUUAUAUUAUUUGUGGCUAUUGAGAAGUGUGUUGUUUCCCUAAUUUCUUUCUCAGCCUGUUUAUCCUUUGUGUACAGAAAGGCCAUUGACUCUUUUGAGUUAAUUUUAUAUCCAGCUUCUUCACAGAAGCUGUUUAUCAGGUUUAGGAGUUCUCUGGUGGAAUUUUUAGGGUCACUUAUAUAUACUAUCAUAUCAUCUGCAAAAUGUGAUAUUUUGACUUCAUCUUUUCCAAUUUGUAUCCCCUUGAUCUCCUUUUGUUGUCUAAUUGCUCUGGCUAGGACUUCAAGUACUAUGUUGAAUAGAAAGUGGGCAGCCUUGUCUAGUCCCUAAUUUUAGUGGGAUUGCUUCAAGCUUCUCACCAUUUACUUUGAUGUUGGCUACUGGUUUGCUGUAGAUUGCUUUUAUCAUGUUUAGGUAUGGGCCUUGGAUUCCUGAUCUUUCCAAGACUUUUAUCAUGAAUGGUGUUGGAUCUUGUCGAAUGCUUUUUCCGCAUCUAACGAGAUGAUCAUGUGGUUUUUGUCUUUGAGUUUGUUUAUAUAAUGGAUUACAUUGAUGGAUUUUCGUAUGUUAAACCAUCCCUGCAUCCCUGGAAUGAAACCUACUUGAUUAGAAUGGAUGAUUGUUUUGAUGUGUUCUUGGAUUUGGUUAGCGAGAAUUUUAUUGAGUAUUUUUGCAUCAAUAUUCAAGAGGGAAAUUGGUCUGAAGUUCCCUAUCUUUGUUGGGUCUUUCUGUGGUUUAGGUAUCAGAGUAAUUGUGGCGUCAUAGAAUGAGUUGGGUAGAGUACCUUCUACUUCUAUUUUGUGUUGGGGUGCCCAGGACUGGGUGAGGUGGGAGUGCUGGGUUCUGAUGAUGGUGAGUGGUCUUGCUUUCUGUUAGUAAGAUUCUUAAGUUUGCCUUUCGCCAUCUGGUACUCUCCGGAGCUAGUUGUUAUAGUUGUCUCUGGUUAGAGCUUGUUCUUCUUGUGAUUCAGUUAGCCUCUAUCAGCAGACCUGGUAGCCUAGCUCUGUCCUGAGUUUCAGUGGUCUGAGCACUCUCUGCAGGCAAGAUCUUCUCUUGCAGGGAAGGUGCACAGAUAUCUGGAGUUCAGACCUGCCUCCUGGCAGAAGAUGAAGGCUUGAAACAGGGCCUGUUAGCUUCUGUAGUCCACACCCUUACCUGCUCAGACUAGUCUUGGAGGGAUCAAGGAACCAAGAUGGCUUCCCUAGGUGCUCUGGCAAAGCCCUCCUGGGCAGGGAGGUCACCUGUCCUCUGGCAGGGAAGGUGCCGGAUGUCUGGAGCCUGAAAUGGGGUUUGCUUCAGAAGCUGUCCUCUAGGGACCUUGGGGGUGUCCUCUGACUCCUAGCCCAGGUAACCUGGUGCUGGCGCUGACUAGAAGGGACUUGUGACCCUGGUCAGGCCGGGUUUACUGCUUCCCUAAUGCUGUCUCAGGUCCCUCGAGAUUGGAAUGGAACAGAAGUUGCGUUCCACUCACUGGUGGUCCUAAGAUCACGUGGAGUCAGAUCUUUUUAUGGAUGGUUGUGAGCCACCAUGUGGUUGCUGGGAUUUGAACUCCGAACCUUAGGAAGAGCAGUCAGGUGCUUUUACCCACUGAGCCAUCUCCCCAGCCUGAGAGUCCUCAAAGGACCUUGGGGGUGUCUGCCAACUCCGCGCCCAAGGUGACCCAGUGCUGGCGUCGACCAGAAGGGACUCGUGACCCUGGUCAGGCCGGGUUUUCUGCUUCUCUAAUGCUGGUCCCACACGAUUGGAAUGGAACAGAAAGAUGUGUUCCACUCACCGGUGGUCCUAAGAUCACAUGAAGAGUCCUCUUUGGACCUUGGGGGUGUCCGCCGACUCCACGCCCAAGGUGACCCGGUGCUGGCCCCGACUGGAAGGGACUUGUCGGUAUAAUUUGAUUUAAGGUGCAUUUAAUAGGAAUCUGUGACUGGUACUGUAAAUCUAUUGAACUAUCCAUGGCUGGUGAGGUCACAGAACCUCAUGAAGAAACUACUAUUAUUCUAAAGCAGCAUAAUUUCUAGCUCGAGUAUAAACAUAUUUUCUUAUGCUCACAGGUAAGUAUAGACUUCACACCUCAUCAAAGCAGCUUCUUUUUUGCAGUGUGUGUCGUAUGGAGACUCUACCAUGGAAACCCACAAGUGGUUACAAUGCUGAGAACUACUGACUAACUGUAGGUUGUCCGUCCCCAGAUGAUACAUCUACAGCACAACCCUUGCACCUAAGGUUCAUUAGGAAAGACAGUAGAAAAAUGUAUGAGCCAGAGGGCCAGACAUUUACUGCAAGAUAGCAUCUGCGAAAGGUGAACUGCUACCAUGAAAUCACAACUGUAGGGCAACAAGACCUGUAAAGUGGUUGACAUGACUCCGUAGAUGGGGCAACUCUUCUCCUAGAUAAGAAGCUAGAGGCAGUUAAUCGCAAGCAAAGACCAGCAGACAUGUCUUCUCUAUGGACAAGGCUCCUGAUUGGUCGUCUAAUUUCAAGUGGUCAGCUCUAAACAUACAUAAUAGGAACAAUGCUAAUGAACCCAGGAGAGAGAGGGGUGGAGGGGUGAAAGGGGAGGGGGGAGGCAGAGUCAAGGGAGAGGGAGAAUGUAUGUGUGUGUGUGUUUAUCUGUAAUAAAAAUGAUUAAAGAUGAAAUCAUAAGUUUUACAGGAAGUGGAGGGAACACAGAGUUGGCUGGGGAAGAGAUGAAUGAAAUAAUGUAAAUACAGUACUGAGGUAAGAAAUUCAUAUAUAUAUAUUAUGAAUAGAUAGAUAGAUAGAUAGAUAGAUAGAUAGAUAUGACACUCUCAAAUAGAAAUUUCCCAAUUCAUAUGCUAACGGACUGCCUAUACCAUUUAGUUCUUUUUCUCAAGAUGAGAAGCAGCAGCAACAGCAGCCCACAAUGGUGUAAGAACCACAUAAGGUUGCCUUUAAUUUCUUAGAAGAAAUGCAAUUGCUUCUUUAUCACAUACAACUUUCCAGAGUCUUGCUCAUUCAUAUACAGUAAACUCCAGUGGUUUUUUUUUCUUUUUUUCUUCAUUUUUUUUAAUUGUUAAAAAAUUCAUAGUUAUAGACUUCUUUAUGCCUACUGUACAAACAUCAGCGUGUCGAGAAAGUCAAGUGAGGUUUAAUUAUAGCUUGGAUGAUGUUCACCACAUAUUUUGUUAUCAGCUCUUCUACAAUUUUAGUUUGCAUUUAAGCAUACCCACAAAAUUGUUAACAAAAGCACAGAUUCUAGUUAACAUUAUAAUAAAGUUAUAUGUCGUUUCGUUUUAGGGGAUAUGCUGGCUAUUGAGCCCAGGUUUUUCACAUGCUAAGCAAAUGUUUUUCCAUGGAGCUACAUGAUCAGCCCAGCAUCUGAAUUUUCAGUGGGCAGUUUUGUUGUAGUACAUUUGUUUGUGUUACUAUGAGAUGAAUCUUCAGAGCACUUUCUUCUUGCAAAACUGAAGUUCUCUCUCUAUGAAACAACUGCUAUUUUCACUGUCCACCAUUCCACUUCCUAAAACUUUGACCACUUUAGGUGGUUAUUGUUUUGAAACCUCACACUUUGUCAUUUUGUGAUUGGCUAUUUCAAUAGUUUGUCAAGGCUCAGACUUGCAGCAUGUGACAUGAAGUUCUUCAUUUUUAAAGCAAAAUAAUAUUAAUUGUGCAAACAUACUAGUUUGUUUAGCCCAUUCAUUUGUUGGUAGUUAUUUCAGAUGAUUCUACUUCUUGACUUUUGUACUACAUAGUGGUGCUGGCUGCAGUGAUGUAAAGUGUUUAGGACAUGUUUGCAAUUAUCAGAGGUACUGUGUUAUGUAACAGAAUUUUUAUGGAGAGAAAAAAAACACACUUGUAACCACAGCUGGCUAUACUGCUUUGGCUCCUGGUGGGUCACAAACAUGCACUUUCCCAGGAGCUAUCUGAAUUCAUGAAUGAAAGACACACACACACACACACACACACACACACACACACACACACACACACUUGUUGCAGUAAAUCUCCAACCCCAAUAAGCCCUGCAAAGAACACACAACUCAGUUGUUAUAUUUAUAAGCUGCAUACCUAGAUUGGGCAGAUAUACCACUAUACUACUAUAUUCCCCAGCUGUAAGAUCUCUUGCUACUUGUGGCUCCUCCACGUGGUUCGGCUCCAUCUAUUUUAUACCUCCUCUUCUUUCAUCUUCCUCUGUCUCCUCAUCUCUCCCUCCUCCUUCCUCUCUCCCCUCUCUAAAACCUCCAGCCCCACCUUUCCCUUCCACUGCCCAAUCACAGGCUCUAGCCUUUAUUCCAUUAGUUAAAAUGGGGAGAAGGUUCACCUAAAACCGCCUGGAUAUGUGAUCCACUCCUCCUCGGGCAGCCCCUCUUGAGGUAGCAGAAUUAGCAUCAAAAUACAAACAGCAACAGGGCAAUUCAACACAAACACACACACACACACACACACACACACACACACACACGUUUGUUUAGGAAUACAACCUGUUUAGUCUGUUCUGAAAUGCCACAGUGUAGUUAAAUCAUUAAACUUAGCCUUGGUGGGAGGAAUGGUGCUGAAGCUUUAUCGGUCUUUAGCUCUAGUAUUUAUCUUUUUUAUUACGUGUUUGCAUAAUGUUAGCAUGUAUUUUCGUCUCUCCUCUUUUAAGGAUUUUAUUAGGUGGAUGUUGGUCUGCUUAGUUUGUUCCUUAUCCUAUCAUCUUUUUCCUUCUCUGUUUUAUUUUUUGGUGGGUUUCUUUCAUAUGAUUUUCUGUCCUUUGUACUACAUUUUUAAUCUUGGCAGUCAUAACUAAAUUUUGGGUUCUCAUUAUUCUGUUUCUUUGGUUAUAUGGGAUUUUCUUUAAAUCUUAUUUUCAAGAUGCUUUUAAGAAUGUUUUAAAUGUUUGUUUUUGUUUUCUCAAUUAGUUCAGCUUCCUCUAAGGUGAAUUUCUGUCUUCCAAGUUUUGGUGUUUCCUUUUUAAUUUUGUCAGUUUUCCUCCAAUGGUAAAGACUUCUGUCUUUUAUUAAGGAAGAAGGACUGAGGAGAUGGACGUAUAUUUCUGCUUUGUUGUGUUAACAGGACAGUUUUCCUACAGACUUUCUCCUCAACCUACAGGAAUCUCUUCCUGAGAUGGGCACACAAUGUUGACUAGCAAGUCCUUUAGGAUGGAUGAGGCGAGCUUCUGUUUGGUUUGAAAACACUCCAGAGAUUUUAGGUUUCCACUUUUGCACCAACACAUUUAGAAGUUAGACUUUUCUGGACUUAUUUGAUUUCUGUAGAUAUAAUUCUCACAUGUAUUUGAUGGGACAGAAUGCUGCCUUUCUGAGACAUGUGUUCAAGUUGGAGACUGGCUUGAACUUUGUCAUAUUCAGCUUCAAAUAAACUGUUCCUAGCUUCAUAUUUUACACCUCCCCUAACUUUUGCCAACUGAUUUUGUACUCAGAGUUCUCUGGGAUUUGAAAGGCAGAUUAACUGCCUUCUAUACAGAUCUCUAUUGUUUGUUGAUUCCUCUUCAUAUAUAAACACUUUGCCCCUUCUUAGAAUUGGGAACAAAACACCCAUGGAAGGAGUUACAGAGACAAAGUUUGGAGCUGUGACGAAAGGAUGGACCAUCUAGAGACUGCCAUAUCUGGGGAUCCAUCCCAUAAUCAGCUUCCAAAAGCUGACACCAUUGCAAAAAAAAAAUAAAUGUAAAGUAUAAAAUAUAAAAUAUGAUAUAUGAUAUAUAUGUUUUUUAUUUAUUUACAUUUCAAAUGUUAUCCCCCUUCCCAGUUUUUCCUCCCCAAACUCCCUAUCACAUAUCCCACUCACCCACCCACUUGGGCCUCACUGCCCUAGAAUUCCCCUAUGCUGGGGUUAAAGCCUCCACAGGGCCCAUUGAUGUCAGAUAAAGUCAUCCUCUGCUACCUACGCAGCUGGAGCCAUGGGUCCCUCCAUGUGUACCCUUUGUUUGGUGGUUUAGUCCCUGGGAGCUCUUGAGGGGUCUGGUUGGAUGAUAUUGUUCUUCCUAUGGAGUUGCAAACCUCUUCAGCUCUUUCAGUCUUUCCUCUAACUCCUUCAUUGGGGUCCCCGUGUUCAGUCAGAUGGUUAGCUAUGAACAUCCGAGUCUGUAUUGGUUAGACUCUUGCUGAGCCUCUCAGGGGACAGUCAUAUCAGGUUCUUGUCAGCAAGCAUUUCUUGGCAUCUGGUUUUGGUGUCUGCAAAUGCAAUGAAUCCCUAUGUGGGGCAGUUUCGGGAUGGCCAUUCCUUCUGUCUCUGCUCUACUCUUUGUCCCUUCAUUUACUUUAGACAGGAACAAUUCUGUGUUAAUACUUUUGAGAUAGGUGGGUGGCACCAUCCCUCAACUGAGGCCGAUCCCUAACAUCUGGAUCUCCCUCUUUACAGGUUCUCCUUCCCCUCUGUUGGGUAUUUCAGAUACUGUCAUCCCUGUUGGGUCCUGGCAUCUGGGACUUUCUAGUUGCUACCCCCAGUUCCCCAUCCCCCACUACUACACACCUUCAUUCAAUUUCUUGACUCUUUAUACUUCUUCCUCCAUCUCCUCCCAUACCUCAUCCUGUCACCCUCCCCCCUGCCAGAUCCCACCCACAUUCUAUUUACCAUGAUUAUUUUGUUUCCUUUUCUAAGUAGGAAUGAAGCGUUCACAUGUUGGUCUUCCUUCUUGAGCUUCAUAUGGUCUGAGUUGUAUCGUGUAUAUUCUGACCUUUUUGCCUAAUAUCUACUUAUCAGUGAGUACAUACCAUGUGUGUUCCUCUGUGACUGAGAUAUCUCACUCAGGAUCACAUUUUCUAGUUCCACCCAUUUGCCUGUGAAUUUCAUAAAGUCAUUGUUUUGAGUAAUUAGUAUUUGAGUUGAGUAGAACUCCAUUGUGUAAAUAUACCACAUUUUCUGUAUCCAUUCCUCUGUUGAGGGACAUCUGGGUUGUUUCCAUCUUCUGGCUAUUAUAAAUAAGGCUUCAAUGAACAUAGUGGAGCAUGUGUCUGAUUCUUCAUUCUUUUUGUGUCAAAUGACCUUUUCUACACUUAUAUUCCAAGAAUUAAUUAGAAAUCUAAACUUCAGGAAUGCAUAAGAGUUGUCUUAUCUGUUAGGCAUUUUCCUUUGUGCUCUUUUUUAUUAUCUUCUGUCUCCCACCUAUGUUUCUCUCUGAUACAGGGAACUGGCUCUGCCAAUAAUAUUUUGUUACCAACUGCAGGCCAGCAGUCAUCUAAGUUUAACCAUUAAGAAAUACCAGAGAGAUACUGGCAAGAGGGGAAAAUAGAAAAGGUAACCAUACCUCCACCUGCUUCUGCCUUGGGCAACAUCUCUAAAAUUCCAGCCCUUCUUUUAUUUCGACUAACUCGAUACCUUCUGAACAUACACACCCCCUAACUUGUGAUUCCAAUUCUUGCCUAAUAACGUUUGAUUCUAGGAUCAGCCAACAAUAUCUUGUCCCUGGGUCCCUACAGCCAUAAUGGUGCUAAUAGCAUUAAAUGUUGUUUACUGAUAUGACUUUUUACAUCACAUCAUACUUUUUUUUUAAUAGAAAAAAUUCUAUAAAAGUAUUCACCUUGAUUCUUCUUACUGUUUUCUGAAAGACAUAGACAUAAGGAAUAUUCUAUGUAUCUAUACUUUUAGUUUAAUGGGUUCUUGGAAGAAAUGGAAGAUAUAUGCAUAUGGCCAGUCUGUCAACAUGAACUGAAAAAUGAAUGUUUUGUGGAUUUGGGUGUAUAUUGUCAAAACCUUUGUAUCAUAUUUUAUUUCCACUAACAGCAGAUGGUGUUCAUAUCUGACAUCUGCAUAGCUCAGUGUGUGAUACUGGUAUCAUCAGUGUAUCUGACUUUUACAUAGGAACAUGAAUUAAAAUAUAUGUAUGGUCUCUUGACUCAGAACAUUUAAUUUUUCUUCCUAACAGCUGGAAAUAAUCUAUGAGGACAGAAAGACAGUAGCACAUGAAUAAGUUUGGGUUCAAAGUGGCUAGUCAGUUACUCAAGACUUCAGAUUCCCAACACUAAGGGAGAUACAAAAAAAAAAAGCUGCUUUCCUGGCGGCUGCUCUAAAGUCUAAAGAGGCAAGGUUUUUUGUUUUUUUGUUUUUUGUUUUUUUUUUUGUUUGUUUUGUUUUUUCUGGCUAAAAGUAAAGUUCUUCCCAGAAAAAGAAAGUUGUCACUGGGAUCCAAGUUUUCAAAGCAUUACUCAGAAAACAGUAUGUCUCACAAAAGGCUGAGUCACAAUCAUCUACCUCUGCUUUUAAGAUUAAUAAACAGUCAGGAAAAGUUAUAUCUUACAUGGAUUUCCAUAGAGAGAAUGAGAAACAGAGUAAAAGUACAGGAUUUCGAAUGUGACAUGUUGCCUUUUCUCAACUGUAUGGAACAAAGUCUUAGCUGCAUCCCUUACACAAAUCACAUCAAUUUAUCAAUUUGAAGUCUUGGUUGGCCACGGCUUAUGGCAUUUUAUGGUGGCUUUGUAAUCAUGCUUUUGGUCUUUGUAAUUUCAUUAAUUAACACUGGUCAUCUACACAGUCAGGAUGUCCUCUAUGACCCCAGCUUCUUCCACCUGCAGAGAUGGUAUACUUUUUCAUCACCCUAUUGCUUUACUCUAGUGUGCAUUCCUUCCAUUAUUUAGCAUCAACUUUUUUUAUCUUGAAAUUGAAGAUAAUUGGGUCCAGAAUUAUCCAUCCCUUGCUGAGCAAAGCAUAUGGCUAAGAGAGAUCGCGUCUCUUGAAAUCAAUGUAGCUAGUCCUUAUGUUCACAAAAAUCUCCUAUUAGGCUGCAUGACCUUUUCUCACAACAAUGUUAUUUUAUCUUAUGUGUUGAUUUAAAGAGUUAAAGUCUCUCUCCUCCUCCUCUCCCACCCUCUGUUCUAACUUUUCUUUCUUCCCUUUCUCCCAUUAUUCAAGAAGAUAAAAAAGUGGAAGAGUCACAGAUCUUAGCUUCAUCAUCAAUGACUGUAUUCACAGCUCUCACAUUCCAUGUGGUCUAUGAACAGGUUACUGUAGAACAUAAAGGGGCUUUUAGUUUUAUAGGGUGACCAAUUAGUGUUCUGACUAAACUCAGAUGUUUUGGUGACUUGUUGGGGUGGAGCCCAAUAAUUUUGCCAAGAUGGGAUCCACACGAGUGAUCCUUUUGGUCGAUACUCAGCCCCAAAUCACAGUCAAGUGGAAACAAAGGGCACUCAGCAGACAGAGAACUCCAAUUAGAAUAAUUAGGAGAAGUAAUUUGCACAGCUUCAAAAAAAAGAAGAAGGAAGAACUCUUGACAUUGCAAUUUAUCUAAUGAAUAUCUUAUUGAAGACCACUUGUAAUGUGAAAUUAAAAGCCAAAAAAAAAAAAAAAAUGAGUACAUUAGGCCAAUAGAUGCCCCUGGAGCUCCCCUACUUUAUUUGCCUUAUUUCUACACACAUCAUUUCUCAACUUAUUAGUUAUCAGCUUAAGCCCCCAGAAUCAAGGAGAAAUUCACAAAUUCUUUUAGAAAAUAGUAACACUUUAUACUCACAAGUACUACACAAAAAUCCUCUAUUUGCUACAAUUUAUGUCUGAAGGGAUUUAAGUUUAAUUGUCUUGAUCUCUUAGAAAAGAAAAGACUUGGAAGCAUUUAGUAUGACUAAAACUUUUCCCACAUGCUGUGACUUUAAUUAUGGAAAGUCGGGUCCCCUUAUAAUGCCCUGGAGUAUUGUGUAGGAAAUGUCCAUCAGGAACAAAGCAAGUGUAAUACCAUGAUCUGAAAUGAUUGGCUCCUAUACUUUCUAGUUUGUUUAAAAACACAACUGAAUGAAUCCACAUAGGAGAGCACUUCUACAUGUUCAUUUCAUUUUAUUCAUAUGACUAUGUUCCCCUUUGGUACACAUCAAAUACACAAUAUUCAUAUGGAUCUCCAAACAGGGCAUUGGAUCUCUAGAAAGUGGGACGGUUGUUAGCCAGAAUGUAUACAUUUCAAUUGAGCUGGAAUCAUCUGGAAAAGCAGUCAUUGCUCUUAACAAGUGAAUCGUCAAGUUAAUCCCUCAUACCAGAGAACAUUUCUACCUAGCCAUUAUUUUUUAGUAUGAAGUAUUUUUUAUUUGUUGACACGUGUCUAUCAAUCCUUUUCAACUGCAACAGAGCCUAUUGUGUUAUGCUCAGAAACUGAAGAGGGGUAGCAUAUCUCUUCUUAUAUUUCCUUUGUAUGGGUUUGGGUAGCACUUAGGAAGAUAAUAAGUGGCAAGAAAAGUGCUAAUCAUAUUUCAAGUAAAAAACUGAACACAGCUACAAGCAUAUAUAUUUUAAUCAAAUUUUAUAAAUGUCCUAUUUAUUAAAUAUUUAAUUUAAAUUAAAACAAAUUAAAUGCAAAAAUAAUUUAAGGAGCUUGGAUACAUUAAGAUCUCAGGUUCCCAGAUACAGUUUGACUCCAAGGAGUUCUGACACACCCAGGAUCUCAGGAUCCCAGGAUUCCAGAAUUUAGGAUCACAUGGACAACUGGACUAUGAGGAGUUCUGAAACAACCAGGAUUACAGGAGGGACAGGCCCCAGUCAGACACAGUGAGGGCAGGCAGCACUACAGAUAACCAGAUGUCAAGAGGCAAGCAUAAGAACAGAAGCAACAGACGCCAAGUUUACUUGGCAUCAUCAGAACACAGUUUUCCCACCAUAGCAAGUCUGGAUACACCAUCACAUCCCGAAAAGCAAGAUUCAUAUCUAAAAUCACUUCUAAUAAUGAUGAUAGAGGUAGAGGUCUUUAAGAAGGGCAUAAAUAACUCUCUUAAAGAAAUACAGGAGAAUACAGGUAAUCAGGUGAAGGAAUUUAAUGAAACCAUUCAGGAUGGAAAAAAAAACCAGAAAUAGAAACAAUAAAUAAAUCACAAACCCGAGACCUUGGAGAUAGAACACCCAGGAAAGAGAUCAGGAAUCAUAGAUGCAAGCAUCACCAACAGAAUAGAAGAGAUAGAAGAGAGGAUCUCAGGUACAGAAGAUACCAUAGAAAACAUGGACACAAUAGUCAAAGAAAAAUGCAAAAUGAAAAAAGCUCCAAAAACUAAACAUCCAGGAAAUCCAGGAUGCAAUGAGAAGCCAAAAUCUGAGGAUAAUAGGUAUAGAAGAGAGUGAAGAUUCCCACCUUAAAGGCCCAGUAUCUUCAACAAAAUUAUAGAAGAAAACUUCCAUAACCUAAAGAAAGAUGUGCCCAUGAACAUAAAAGAAGCUUAUAGAAUUCCAAAUAGGAUCAGAAAAGAAAUUCCUCCCAUCAUAUAAUAAUCAAAACACCAUAUGCACUAAACAAAAAAGAAUAUUAAAAGCAGUAAGGGGAAAAGGUCAAGUAACAUAUAAAGGCAGACCUAUCAGAAUUCCACCAGAGUUCUUACCAGAGACUAUGAAAACCAGAUUAUCCUGCACAGAUGCCAUACAGACCCUAAGAGAACACAAAUGCCAUCCCAGACUACUAUACCCAGCAAAACUCUCAAUUAACAUAGAUAGAGAAACCAAGAUAUUCCAUGUCAAAACCAAAUUUACACAAUAUCUUUCCACAAAUUCAGCCAUACAAAGGAUAAUAGAUGGAAAACUCCAAGAUAAAGGAGGGAAACUACACCCUAGAAAAAGCAAGAAAGUAAACUUCCUUCAACAAGUCCAAAAGAAGAUAGCCACACAAACAUAAUUCCACCUCUAACAACAGAAAUAACAGGAAGCAACAAUAGUUUUUCCUUAAUAUCUCUUAAUAUCAAGUGGACUCAAUUCCCCAAUAAAAAGUCCUAGACUAACAGACUGGAUACAGAAACAGGACCCAGCAUUUUGCUGCACACAGGAACUACACCUCAGUGACAAAGACAGACACUACCUCAGAGUAAAGAGCUGGAAAACAAUUUUCCAAACAAAUGUUUCCAAGAAACAAGCUGAAGUAGUCAUUAUAAUAUCAAAUAAAAUCGACUUUCAACCAAAAGAUAAGAAAAGACACUUCAUACAAGAAGAUUGAAAUAAUCCCAUGCAUACUCUCAGAUCACCACAGACUAAAGCUGGUCUCCACUAACAACAAAAACAAUGGAAAGCCCACAUGCACGUGGAAACUGAACAAUGCUCUACUCAAUGGUAACUUGGUAAAGGAAAAAAUAAAGUAAGAAAUUUAUGACUUUUUAGAAUUUAAUGAAAAUAAAGGCACAUCAUACCAAAACUCAUGGGACACAAUGAAAGCAGUGCUAAGAGGAAAACUCAUAGCUUUAAGUGCCUACAAAAAGAAACUGGAGAGAGCAGCUUGACAGCUCAUCUGAAAGCUCUAGAACAAAAAGAAGCAAGCAUACUUAAGAGACAUAGACAGUUGGAAAUAAUCAAACACAUGGCUGAAAUCAACCAAGUAGAAACAAAAAGAACUAUACAAAGAAUCAACAAAAUUAGGAGCUGUUUCUUUGAGAAAAUAAACAAUUAGAUAAACCCUAAACCAGAUUAACCAGAAGGAACAGAGAAUGUAUCCAAAUUAAUAAAAUCAGAAGUGAAAAGGGAGACAUAAAAACAGAAACUGAAGAAAUUUUUAAAAAAUCAUCAGAUCCUACUACAACAAAAUUGGGAAAUCUGGAUGGAAUGAACAAUUUUCUAGACAGAUACCAGGUACCACGUACGAAGGUUAAAUCAGGAUCAGAUAAAUCAUCUAAAUAGUUCCAUAACUCCUAAAGAAAUAGAAGAAGUCAAUAAAAGUCUCCCAACCAAAAAAAGCCUAGGACCAGAUGGAAUUAGUGGAGAAUUCUAUCAGACUUUCAAAGAAGACCAAAUAUCAAUAUUUUUCAAACUAUUCCACAGAAUAGAAACAGAAGGAAUACUACCCAAUUUGUUCUAUGAAGACACAAUUACGCUUAUACCUAAACCAAACAAAGACCAAACAAAGAAAGAAAUCUUCAGACAUAUUUUCCUUAUAAACAUCGAUGCAAAAAUACACAAUAAAAUUCUCUCAAACUGAAUCCAAGAACACAACAAAAUGAUCAUUCACCAGGAUUAAGUAGGCUUCAUCCCAGGUAUGCAGGCAUGGUGCAGUAUACAGAAAUCUAUCAAUGUAAUCCACUACAUAAACAAACUCAAAGAAAAAAAUCACAUGAUCCUUUCACUAGCAUUUGAGAAAAUUCAACAUCCCUUCAUGUGACAAGUCUUGAAAAGAUCAAAAAUUGAAGGCCCAUACAUAAACACAGGAAAAGCAAUAUAUAGCAAAGCAGUUAGUAGACAACAUUAAACUAAAUAGAAACUUGAAGCAAUCCCACCAAAAUCAGGAACUAGAUAAGGCUUCCCACUCUCUCCCUACCUGUUAAAUACAGUACUUGAAGUUGUAGCUAGAGAAAUUAGACAACAAAAGGAUGCCAAAUACAAAUUGGAUGGAAAGAAGCGAAAAUUUCACUAUUUGCAGAUGAUAUGAUAGUAUAAUUAAGUGACCCCAAAAAUUCCACCAGAGAAGUCUUACAGCUGAUAAACAACUUCAGCAAAGUGGAUGGACAUAAAAUUAACUCAGACAAAUCAGUAGCCUCUUCUACUCAAAUGAUAAACCGGCUGAGAAAGAAAUCCUUCACAAUAGUCACAAAUAACAUAAAAUACCUAGGUGUGACUCUAACAAAGAAACUGAAAGAUCUGUAUAACAAGUACUUUACAUCUUUGAAAAAAGAAAUUGAAAAAUCUCAGAAGAUGGAAAGAUCUCCCAUGCUCAUGGAUUGGCAGGAUUAAUAUAGUAAAAAUGGCCAUCUUGCCAAAGGCAAUCUAUAGAUUCAAUGCAAUCCCCAUCAAAAUUCUAAUUCAAUUCUUCACAAAGUAAGAAAGAACAAUUUGCAAAUUCAUUUAGAUAACAAAAACCCAGGACAGUGAAAACUAUUCUCAACAAUAAAAGAUCUUCUGGGGAAAUCACCAUCCUGGAACUCAAGCUGUACUACAGAGCAAUUGUGAUAAGAUAAAACAAACAAAACAAAACACCUGUAUGGUAUUGGUACAGAGACAUGCAAGAAGAUAAAUGGAACAGAAUUGAAGACCCAGAAAUGAACCCACACAUAUAUGGUCACUUGAUCUUUGACAAAGGAGCUAAAACCAUUCAGUGGAAAAAAAGACAGCAUUUUCAACAAAUGGUGCUGGCUCAACUGGAGGUCAGCGUGUAGAAGAAUGCAAAUUGACCCAAUAUUAUUUCCUUGUACAAAUAUCAAGUCCAAGUAGAUCAAGGACCUCCACAUAAAACCAGAUACUGUGAAACUUAUAAAGGAGAAAGUGGGGAAGAGCCUCGAACACAUGAGCACAGGGGAAAUUUUCUUGAACAGUUCACCAAUGGCUUAUGCCUAAGAUCAAGAAUUGACAAAUGGGACCUCAGAAAAUUGCAAAGCUUUUGUAAGGCAUAGGACAUUGUCAAUAGGACAAAAGAGCAACCAGUAGGUUGGGAAAAGAUCUUUACCAAUCUUACAUUUGAUAGAGGUUUAAUAUCAAAUAUAUAAAAGGAACUCAAAAAGUUAGACUCCAGAGAAUCAAAUAAACCUGUUCAAAAUGGGGCUCAGAGCUAAACAAAGAAUUCUCACCUGAGGAACACUGAAUGGCUUGGAAGCACCUAAAGAAAUGUUCAACAUCCUUAGUCAUCGGGGAAAUGCAAAUCAAAACAACUCUGAGAUUCCACCUCACACCAGACAGAAUGGCUAAAAUCAAAAACUCAGGUGGCAGCAGAUGCUGGCAAGAAUGUGGUGAAAGAGGAACACUCUUCCAUUGCUGGUGGGAUUGCAAGCUGGAACAACUAUUCUGGAAAUCCGUUUGGUGGUUCCUCAGAAAAAUGGACAUAGUACUAAUGGAAAAUCCAGCAAUACCACUCCUGGACAUACACCCAAAAGAUUCUCCAACAUGUAAUAAGGACACAUGCUCCACUAUGUUCUUAGAAGCCUUAUUUAUUAGAGCCAGAAGCUGGAAAGAACCUAGAUGUCCUUCAACAGUAGGAUGGACACAGAAAAUAUGGUACAUUUACACAGUGGAUUACUACUCAGCUAUUAAAAACAAUGAAUUCAUGAAAUUUGCAAUCAAAUGGAUGGAACUUGAAAAUAUCAUCCUGAGUGAGGUAAUCCAAUCACAAAAGAACAACAUGGUAUACACGCACUGAUAAUUGGAUAUUAUCCCAAAGGCUCGCUGUACCCAAGAUACAAUUCACAGACCACAUGAGGCCCAAGAAGUUGGAAGGCCAAAGUGUGGAUGCUUAGGUCCUUCUUAGAAAGGGGAACAAAUACAGAGGUGGAUGCAUGCAGUCAGCCAUUAGACAGAGCACAGGGACCCCAAUGGAGGUUUUAGAGAAAUGACUGAAGGAGCUGAAGGGGUUUGCAACCCCAUAGAAAGAACAGUGUCAACCAACCAGACCCCUCAGAGCUCCCAGGGACUAAGCCACCAACCAAGGAGUACAUAUGGAGAGACCCAUGGCUCCAGCCACAUAUGAAAUAGAGGAUGACCUUGUCAGACAUCAGUGGGAGGAGAGGCCCUUGGUCCUGUAAAGGCCCUUGGCCCUUGGAUGGAUGACCCAGUGUAGAGCAAUUUGAGGGUGGGGAGGCAGGAGUAGGUAGAUGGGUGGGAGAACACCCUAUAGAAGCUGGGGGAGUGGGGAUGGAAUAGAAGUUUUCAGGGGGGAGGGGCAGGUAAAGGGGCUAACAUUUGAAAUACAGAUAAAGAAAAUAUCCAGUAAAAUUAAAUAAAAUAAUUUAAUUUAAAUUUAAAUAUUUUAUUAAUAGCCUUGUAUAUGGGGUAUAAAUAUAUUUUUUAAGGUUUUACUUGGUCUACACACAGAUACACAUAUAUGUAAAUUCACUUUCAAAGAAAGAAAUAUGAAAAGAUUAACAAUUUAGAGAGUAAUUAAUAAAGUCAAAUUAUAAAGAAGUGUCUGCUACUUUUAUAAACAUGUUGAGGUCCACUAGAAGUGAUUAUACAUAAGGAAAUUGGGUGGUCAUGAACAGAGGACCUGGGGUCUGGCAAACUCUUGAUGUUGUUAUUAUAUGAACAUGAUUGACUUAAGAAGUUUUAGGGAACUGUCUCCUGGGAAGAGCUUAUUUUUGUACAUGACUACUACCUCCUUGCAAUGCCAGCUGUCUGUUCCUGAGAUGGAUAACCCAAAUGUCAUUUCCAAGGAAGAUGGCUUCCAAGAAGAGAUCAAGAGGGCAGUUGAGGAAUUGAGAGUUAAGUGGGAGAUCUAGGAUUGAAACAUCAGGUACUAACUCCAUCCCACUUCUUACUUGGGAGACUGUCUCUAAUAUGCAGUAUUGGGAAUGUGGGAGGGGGGGGGCUGAGGACUGCAAAGAUUAUCCAUCACUGGAGUAGGCAUUUGUGCUAUUUGCAGUCUUUAGAGGAAAAUGUUUCCAGUUAGCUGUGAGAAACACUUGCUCCUUCUGUUUCAGAGGUCAUUAUGAGUGAGGUAGGUGUGGGAUCUAUUCCUUUUGGCAACAGCAUCAUGGAAGGAAAGGGAGAGCCAGGAUUAUCUCACAAAUAGAAAGGAACAGCAAGUUUUACACCCACUGCUUUUUAAAAUGAUAGCAGUGAAGUCUGACCUGAAUUGAGUAAGGCACUUGAGAUGACUCUGCUGGCAUUCUGAAACGUAAUCUUAACCCUCUCACAUGAGUAGUUCUCGAGACACCACACCACCAAGGAAAAGAGAACAUAACACAAAGGAUGCUACAUCUGAGCAGAAAGCACAUAGAAGUAAUGGAGGUUCCCCUCAACUCCAUUUAUGUGCCUUGGUGAGUACUAUCAGCAAUCAAAAGAGGAAGAAAACUUUUCCUCAGGUUUCAGACCUGGUCUUGGAUGGUAGAUUUCAUUUUCAAGUCAGGCUGAUAUUUUAAGUAUGGACUAAAACUGACUUUAGCACAAAAGUAUUCUUCAGGAAUAAAGAUUGAAUAAAACAUGUUUGUUCCUUGAGGAUAUUAUGCUGUUUUCCAGAAUUUUAAUAAUGCAUACAAAGCUUUAGAAACUUGGUAUAAUGGGUUCAUGAUGUCCUUAGGAUGGUAGGAUGCUUGCCCAGCAUACUUUUUGCCCUCCCUUCAACUCCCAGCAGCUCAGAAGGUGGACAUGGUACUGCACAGGUGUAAUUCUAGCACUAAGGAGGUAGAUGCAGGAGAAACACAAGUACAAAGUCCUCUGCAGCUUAAGUGAAUUCUAGGCAACCUGGAUAACAUAAGAACACCCUUCCCCCAAGACACACACACACACACACACACACACACACACACACACACACACACGUACCACAUAAGCCUGGUGAGAUGACUCACUGUAACCUGGUGAUCUGCGUUAGAUCCCUAGAACAUAGUAGAAGAACCGACUACCACAAGGUUGUUCUCCAACUUUCACAUGUUUGUGAUGGUACAUACACACACCCCAAAUAAACAGAAGAUAAUAAAAAUAAAUACAAGUCAAUACAGCACUUUGCUUAGCAUUUAAAUUUUUUACUGGUGACUUUAUAGUGGCUCUUCUUAAAUGGCAAUUCUUACUCAGUUGUUUUUGACUGUGAGGAUGUGUUAUGUCAGAAAUGGUACUUUAGAACUUGUAGAUUGAAGAGAUCUAAGAAGCAGGCACUGCUGUUAAUUCAGCCAAGUGAGAAACUGUGUGUACUCUCCCCAUCACCUCGUCUAUAGACAUGUUAAAAAUAGUGAUGUAUGUGCAUGACAUAUUAUUUAUUUAGUCUCCCUAGACUGAAUGUGAAUGUGGAUUUACAGACCCCUCACAAUAAAUUCUGCUACCCUCAGGGGUCCAAGACCUACUGCUUGAAAUCCACAGAGCAGGACAGGCUUAUGAUUGAUGACAACGAGGAGGGCCUGGGGCACAUCUGCUAGUCUUCCAUGGCUUUCAUCCUCACAGCCCUCACACAGCCUCCUUGAAAUGCCACACUCUGCUGUGUUUACUGGAAAUGUUUUCUGUAUAAACUUCAAAAAGUUAGUUAUGACUCUCUACAGCAGAAACAUUUUUCAUAAAAAAAAUGAAGUGUACCUUGGAUGAAGAUUUAUUCAUCAAAGAAAAAUGAUUUUCGAUUUAGGAUCUACUAGGUCUUUAAAUGUGCAUAAUAGUACUUUAAGUGGGAGGUGACUAUACACUUGUUUAAUGCAUAAUUUUCUAUACUUUUCUGAUAAAAUAUUUAUCAGUACAUUAAGGCAAAAGAUUCCCACAUAUAGUACCUAAAGACACAUAACUUUGUGUUCUCAUUACUAUGUAUACAUUGUAGUUGCAAUACAACAACAAAGCCUACCAAUGAAGACAGUAAUGCUACACAAUACAUAGCCAAGUAUCACUGUAAAUUCACUUUCUAGAGCCUUCUGGAAUUUCUUUCUCUCCACUGAUUUUGUCAAAGCUUAUGAUUCAAGAUGUAAGUGUAUAUAUCUAUCCAAUUUUGUUUCCUACCUCACCCAUUUUUUAUUGUCUUCUUUUUGGUUAAUCCUAGGUAGAGUUCCCCCCCCCCCUAGAAAUGCCUUGUUGUGGAUUGUCCUAAUAAUGUUUGUAUUUUGAUGUUUGUUUUGUUUCCUCAAGCAGGAUUGCCCCUGACAAGCAACAUCACAUACUCAGAUCAUCUCAUGUGAACCUUCUUCCCAUUUAACUGGUCAAUAAGGCUAGAGCCUGUGAUUGGGCAGUGGAAAGGAAAGGUGGGACUGAAUGCUUGAGAGUGUAUACAGGUAGAGGAGAGAAGAGGACAAGAGGGGAAGGAUGGAGGACAAAGCCAGAAGAGGAGGAGGAAGGCAUGAUGGACUAGAAACGUAUGGGCAGGAGAAACUGCAAGUAAGAAGGGGACUUAUAGCUGGGAAAUAUGUUAGUAUAGUGUUAGAUCUGACCAAUUUAGGCAUACAGCUUACAAUUAUAAUAACUGGAUUGUGUGUUUUUAUAUGGGUUUAUUGGGGUUGGAAAUUCCAAAAACAGUGCCUUAGAUAAUUAUUUUAAAUCUUUCAUAUAUGAAUCUGCACUCAUGUCUAUCCACUUUUUUUUUUUUUUUUGCACCAACAGUACCUUUCUUCCUUUCUUUUUAUCAUGGAACAACUUUCCUGUCAGUUUGUCCUCCUUUGCUUUCUGUGCACACUUUUGUCACAACCAGUUUCAAUCAACGCUGUUCUGAUUUCCAGCCCUACUAUGUAGCUGUCUUCUACUUUUUGGGUUCUUUUUCCUUCCACCCUCCUCUAACCUCUUUCUACCCUUUAAUCCCCCUAAACACUAGAUAAAAGAGAAAAAAGUUAGAAAAGAAAGGAAAUAUUCCUGAAUAAAGUCAGGAGUCAGAAAGGGAGCAACAUUAUCAUUAGACUAUUUUUUUGCAAAUUAGGGGCAUUGAGUUCCUUGAGACAAGUUUGAUCUUCACAAUUAGGAUAUCUAAUUUCUUUCUUCUUCUUCUUCUUCUUCUUCUUCUUCUUCUUCUUCUUCUUCUUCUUCUUCUUCUUCUUCUUCUUCUUCUUCUUCUUCUUCUUCUUCUCCUUCUCCUUCUCCUUCUCCUUCUCCUCCUUCUCCUUCUCCUUCUCCUUCUCCUUCUCCUUCUCUUCUUCCUCCUCCUCCUCCUCCUCCUCCUCCUCCUUCCCCUCCUCCUUCUUCCUCUUCAUGUUUCUUCUUUGUAACAACUACUUAACAAACUAAGACCAAAAGCAACCAAUCAACAACCACCAACCCAACAACUGUCUUGGAUCCCUAGCAUUUAUAUACCCUCUCAAAAGUUCCCAUAAUUCCAAAUAUGCAGAAACUAUCUGGAGCUGGCAAAAUCACACCCUCACUAGAGCAAGAGACAAAUCACAGUUGCAGUGGACAAUGUGAAACAGGCCUAUAUUUCAUACCUGAGACUGAAAAAAAAUCAAUUUCUAAUAACAUUUCUAUGUAUUUAUUUAAAUAAACCAAAAAUUCCAAAAUUCUCAUUAUACCAAUAUUUCAUUGAAAAGUUCUUAUCACAAAGACAAGUUAUGUAGUAUCUAGAUCUGAGGUUAGCCCAUUACUUCUCCUUCACUGACUCUUACAGUAGUGUGUACAUACUGAUCUUCCUUAAAUAUUUCCUUUGGUCUGAUUCCUUCGUUCCUUUAUUCAGGAAGAUUUGCUCAUAGGAUAGAACACAGGAAAAGAAAGGCUGAGUUCUUGAGCUAGAAGUCUGAGAAACUAGAAACCUAAACAUGAGGCUGCAGAAGAGUAAGCACCAUGGUUGAUAAGACACAGUUUGAUAGAGGACUUAAGAGCAAUACCUUCUUAAGAUCAGAAGUGUCUAGGGAAACUUCCUGGGAAAGGUGACACUUAAUUAGAGACACUUGUCAGAUGAAUCAUCCAGAGAGCAGGGUAAUGUAAUGAAAAGGACCAUGAAGGCAGAAGAGCUCAUGUAAAGGGAUUCAGUGUCAGAAGGGAAGAAGGGAGGGGAAGAAACAGAAAAAGUCAGAGAGCUAGAGACAGAGACAGAGAAAGACAGAGACAGAGAGAUAAGGCACAUGCACAUAGAGAUACAUACAUACAUACAUACAUACAUACAUACAUACAUACAUACACAGACACAUACAGAUACAAACAUACAUACAGACACAGAGACACACAGACACACAUAAAGACAGACACAUACUUAGACAGACACAGUCAGACAGACAGACACAGACACAGAGACAGACACUGACAGACACAGAUAGAUAGACAUACAUAGUCAGACAGACAGACACAGAUAGAUAGACAUACACAGUCAGACAGACAUAUAUACAGACAGACACACAAACACAUGGACACAUAGACACACAAAAAGAAACAGACAGGCAAGCAGAUACAGACACAGAGAGAGACAGAAUAGUCAGAGACAGACAGACACACAGACAGAUGGACACACAGAGGAAAUGAACCAAGAGAGAGGGAGGGAGGAAAGGAAGGAGGAAGAAGAAGAAGAAGAAAAAGAAGGAGGAGGAAGAGGAGGAGGAGGAGGAGGAGGAGGAGGAGAAGGAGAAAGAAGGAGAAGGAGAAGGAGAAGGAAAGAAGAAGAAGAAGAAGAAGAAGAAGAAGAAGAUAAGAAAGAGAGAGAGAGAGAGAGAGAGAGAGAGAGAGAGAGAGAGAGAGAGAGAGAGAGAGAGAGGUGAGAAGUUUGGGUGGAGUGUGAUGAAGAGAAUGGAAAAAUAUAUCACCCCAAGGAGGUCACAUCACAUCAUGGCAGGCUUUGUGGGAUAAUUCGAGAUUAGAGUAUUUAAUGGUGCAGAAAUAUCAUAAAGAACAUAGAUGUUAAAUUUUCUGAGGUUGGAGAAAGGGUUGGAAAUGUGGCAAAGGUAGCUGAAGAGCUUCAGGAGGCCAUGGCAUCAAUUCUGUGUAAUGUAAUUGUUAUACAGGCACCAGGCAUGAGGGAAUGGUGUUUCCUUUAUGCAGCAGUAAGUUCUCUCUUUCCAACCACCCUGUUAUGGAUGUUGGUGAUGUGGAAAUCAGUGUUAAAGGAGGGAGGGAGGAAGGGAAAGGAAGAAGAAAAGAAUGAAGGAGAGGAGAAGGGGAGUGGAAGGAGAGAGAGUUGAAUUAAUGCCACAUGGGAAGAAAUAAAAUGCUUUGCAGAUUGACUGGAAGCCAGAGGUAGGUAUAACAUCUGGUCUUAGAAGUUCAUAAAACUAGGACAACCACCCAUAUGGUGGUGCCAUUCAUGCCACUGGAAAGUACUCAAGUAGGAAUGUGGUGUCCCUAACAGUGGAAAGGGUUGUGGUUUCAGUUUUACUUUACUGUUGUUUUCCAAAAGAAAACAUACUAUAAAGGCAGGAGGCACCUAGAAAGGUAUUGGUUGUUUAUAAACAGCUAGCAAAAGAAAGAGAUAAUAAGGAUUUUUUGUACUAGGAACUUUAUCAGAGAUUAUGUCUGAAUGACCCACAAUAUAAAACAUGGGGACUAUGGUUCUGGAGGAACCUCUUUUUCUCAAGAGACAGAAACUACAGAUCUGGAUUCAUGGCUCUUUAUAUUUGAUAUCAAGGAUUCUGAGACAAAAAUCACAUCCUUACAUCCUUACGGCUACAUGUAUUUCUUCAAUGAUGGAGAACUUGCCUACAUACAUUUGGUCCUAGAGUUGAAUCUUGGCUCUACAAAAGAAUAAACAAAUGUAAAGCACAGAUAUAUUAAAUGAGGAAACUUUAAAAAAGAAUCACACAUACAGUAUCUGAAGCCACAUGCCUUUGUGUUAUCACCAUGCUUAAGAGUGAUAUCAGUCUUCAGAGGGACUAAGGAGAGCAUGGUGAAGUAAAAGAAUCCUUAGAAGAGUUUUAUGCAAAAUUUAAGGGCCUUUACUUUCUCAGGAUCCUGCCAAGGGCUGUGCACAUAACCAGCUCUGAGGUCUGUAAGUCAGAAAAAAAAUUUAUAGUAGUAAAUACUGACAUGUGAAAUAUAAGGAAAGAAAACAACAGCUUUUCAAUUUUCAUCAGUUUCCUCCUCCUUUUGUAUUUUAUGACCCACAUAAAGUUUGCAGCACAAGUCACAUUUUUGCAAGAUCAUUGCUUUGAGGACUAUAUGAAGCAAUAGGUUACAAAAGGCUCUCUCUCUCUCUCUCUCUCUUUUUCUCUCUUUGUAAAACCAGAACUGCAUUUAAGCCACUUUCAAGAAUUCCCGUAUAUUGCUACAUACUUGACCACUUUCAGUGACAUUUUGGAUAUUGCACAGGGAGAAGUUUCACAGUUCUUCUAGAGAGAUAUAUUCAAGAAAAAAACGAACCAUUUUUGUGUGUUAUGAAUAUAAGCUUUCAGUUCACAUUCUCACUCCCCAUCAUUUAUCAAGUCCUAAAUCUCUGCCCAUGCCAACAUAUUAUCAAUAUAUUAUACAACCUGCCUUAUGAAAAGGCUAUUUCCACACCAUUAAGAACGUCAAUUUUAUUUUGCCAACUUAGAACUAUUUUUAAGAAAUUUCAUUUAGUUGUAUCUUAUAGUCUGAUAUUUGUUUCCUGAAAAAUCUGUAAAUUCUUGCCAGUUUAUGAAAUACUAUAGCAUCUACAAGGGUCAGAGGUUAUCUAUGGCAAAAUUUCUGUAAACACAGAAUGGUCAACUUCCCAACAGUGUCUUCUAAGACGGUGGCCAACUCCCUUCUCUGUGUUAGUCAUGGUUAGUCACACAGGGAGGGACUUAACUCUGCUUACAAAAAAAGUGAUUGUUCCACUAUCCUCAGGAAUGGGGUUAGUCACCAGCGUGCUCCCUGGGGCAUUCCACUUCAUCCCUGCUUCCCCCAGGGCAGUAUUGUACUCAGACAAAAGUGUCAGCAGAGAUCCUUGAUUCAGGCACAAGGGCAACUAUUGCUCAGGUCAACUCACCCAGUCCUCGGAACCACCUGGAAUUAUUGGCUGUAUUUUAGAGAUUACAAAGCUGAAGUUUGGAAGGAAAAGACAUUUUCCUAGGGUCAACCAGAAUUGGGUUUUGAACUGAGUUUGGCUCAAGAGUCUGCUUUCAUAAUUAUCACACCAAUGCCUUCCAGAUUUUGUUCCCAAAGGAAGAAGAACUGGGGCAUCCUACCCCAGUCACAGCAUCUCCUUGGCUGUUGUUUUGUAUACUGAAGUUCCAUGAGAAACUUACACACAGGGGGCAACAGCCACACUAUUAAAACUACAGGAAACUUUUGAAUCAAGACACCCCUCUGCACCUCUGAGGUACAGGAUGUGGAUGCUGUGUUGCUUACUUUAGGCCCCCCAAAUAAAUGGUCAACUCAAAUAAUCCUGCUGGAUUAUAUCAGUAAACUGUGGGUUAGGUCAAUUUAGGCCUGCCAAAGUGAUCAAGUGAGAAGGCAGUAUAGCUUAACUAACCUUUUGGUGUUCCACCUGCUCACCACUACAGUAUAAAUAUGAUGAAGACCAUGGAUGUCUAGUGAACUUAGCAGUAUAGAGGUUAUUGAAGAAGAGAUAAAAACUUUAAAACAUCCUUGUCACAACUGGGCUUUGUUCACAGUGUGGGCAUUUGGGGCAUGAACUUCUGUUUGGGUGCAACAACUCAAGAGCACACAGUCUAAGAUGACAGAGAAGGGAGCCAAGAGAGGGACAGAAGCCUAAGACCCCAACCAGGUGGCUUAGUUGAAAUCAUAAACAAUGACCAGGACAGGAUGACAGAGGAAAGAAACUACCAUUCACAUAGGCUGAAGGAGGAAGUGUUUAUCUUGAAACUUUCAAUGUAAAGAUUUCAACCACAGCCUUGCCCUGCUGGGGCUUAUACAUAAGAUGUGCUCACACUCAGUCUUUCAAGUUUGAUUUACAGAGAGUAAAUGGUUUAUUCUAGAAAAAUGUCACUGAGGCAAAUCAAUAAAUUAUAUCAUAUACUUUUUUAUAUAUUACUGCUUUUGUAUAGUUGUAAUGACACAUUGAAAUAAUUAAAAUAUUCACUGAUCAUCUAUUGUACAUUGCACUAGACAGAGGCUAUAGGGAGAGUGGACCACACUAAAUCCCUGUUCUGACCACAUUUAUUUUAUUUUAUUUUUUAUUUUUAUUUUUAAUUUUUUUUAAUUAGGUAUUUUCCUCAUUUACAUUUUCAAUGCUAUCCCAAAGGACCCCAUACCCACCCCCCCCAAUCCCCUACCCACCCACUUCCCCUUUUUGGCCCUGGCGUUCCCCUGUACUGGGGCAUAUAAAGUUUGCAAGUCCAAUGGGCCUCUCUUUGCAGUGAUGGCCGACUAGGCCAUCUUUUGAUACAUAUGCAGCUAGAGUCAAGAGCUCCCGGGUACUGGUUAGUUCAUAUUGUUGUUCCACCUAUAGGGUUGCAGUUCCCUAUAGCUCCUUGGGUAAUUUCUCUAGCUCCUCCAUUAGGGGCCGUGUGACCCAUCCAAUAGCUGACUGUGAUCAUCCACUUCUGUGUUUGCUAGGCCCCGGCAUAGUCUCACAAGAGAGAGCUAUAACUGGGUCCUUUCAGCGAAAUCUUGCUAGUGUAUGCAAUGGUGUCAGCAUUUGGAAGCUGAUUAUGGGAUGGAUCCCUGCAUAUGGCAGUCGCUAGAUGGUCCAUCCUUUCGUCACAGCUCCAAAUUUUGUCUCUGUAACUCCUUCUAUGGGUGUUUUGUUCCCAUUUCUAAGAAAGGGUAAAGUGUCCACACUUUGGUCUUCGUUCUUCUUGAAUUUCAUGCGUCUGGCAAGUUGUAUCUUAUAUCUUGGGUAUCCUAAGUUUCUGGGCUAUUAUCCACUUAUCAGUGAGUACAUAUUGUGCGAGUUCCUUUGUGAUUGGGUUACUUCACUCAGGAUGAUACCCUCCAGGUCCAUCCAUUUGCCUAGGAAUUUCAUAAAUUCAUUUUUUUAAUAGCUGAGUAGUACUCCAUUGUGUAAAUGUACCACAUUUUCUGUAUCCAUUCCUCUGUUGAGGGGCAUCUGGGUUCUUUCCAGCUUCUGGCUAUUAUAAACAAGGCUGCUAUGAACAUAGUGGAGCAUGUCUGACUACAUUUAUAGUGUAGUGGGAAAGGAUGUUUAAAAAUAAAUAAACAUCCGAUUUAGAAUGGCAGUUUCAGAUACUUGGAAUGAAAAACAUUACUAAUCAGGGCACUGAGACUAGCUUUGUUAUAGGCAGUGAAGAGGGACAUUCUAUACAGAGUGGCUAGGGAAUUCCUCAGAUGGCAUAAACUGUGAAAUUGUACAGAAACAACACAAAACAGAAAAAUUUGAAAACUAGGUAGUAAUUUAAGGGAAGGAACAUUCCUGCAUUCCUUCUAAGAGAUACAGCACACACAAAGGCAUCAAGGCACCUUCAUUGCUUGAGUGUGCUUGGAGCAGAGAGUGGGCACAGAGGAACAGACACAUAAACAACAUGGAGAGGAAGUCAAUGUGGUGGGCAAGCUGGUUAUUCCCAGAUCUUUGUAAGCCACAACAAGGACUGUGACUUGAAUUUGAAUGCUAGAGGCAUCAUGAGGAGAGAAAGGUUGCAAUAUGACAUUUCAAUUACUUGUGUCUAUGUGUGGAGUUUCAAAACCGAUGGGGAUGGUCCUGCCAUUAUUCAAGUGAGGGGGAUGCUGACUUCGCAUCGCCAUGAAAUUAGUAAAACAUGAAGAUUCUGGGUGUAUUCUGCUGGAAAGUAAGUGUAGAUUGUAGGGGGAAAAAACCCAACAAAUCAAAGAGGACUAAGGAAAUGGAAUUGUUGUGUAUAGAGUGGGAAAGACUGGUUCAUAAAGAUGUUUGAAAGGUUUUUUUCCCCUUGAGACAAAAUGUUAGCCUGACUAUCUUCAAACUUGCUACAGUUCUGCUAACUCUGCCUUCUAAAUGCCACAGUUAGGGAGGUGUGCCCUCACAUCCUUAUUACAGUGUUUUCUUCUUAUGAGGGUGCAAAAGUAAUUGGAGGAUCUCUAUUCUGUGACUUUAUGUAUCUAUACCAAUUACCUCACUGAAGACCUUACUGCCACAGUGUGGGGAGAGGCUUCACCACAUGAAUAUUACAUGGAGCAAAAUUUAGUCCCCAAUAAGAGACAAUGUACAAAAGAAGAGACUGUCAAACUGGACAGCCUUUCACAGCCUUUUACAGCCUUUCACAGGCAUUAGCAAACUUAGAAAGAAAUAAAAAGAUCUAAAGUGGGGCAUUAUGAAGAUUAGUAAACACGGACUGUUUUAAUUACUAACAUUGUAGGAUGACUAUGAUGAGACUUGGGAAUGGCCACUGAUUUUAGCAAUGUGAAGAACUUGAUGAUACGAAGAACUUGUUUGUGCUAUAGUACAAAUGAUUGCCCCAUGGCCAUGAAUUUCACCAGAACAUGGGAAGUAAGAUAAUUAUUCAUUAAUGGUGGAGAAUAAUCACUUCUGUAAAGAAGAAAUCCCAGUAAGACUUUGUGGAGCAAAGAAGAGAACCAUGGAAAACAGUGUACCUCAGUCCUGGUACUUUUUGAGGAUAUACUUGAGAUGAUGAAUAGGAGGAUAGAAGGAAUGAUUGGAGGAAGACAGCAGAGAUGGAACACAGGUCUGCUGGCCUUCUGGCCAUGUGGGUCCCUCACGAUAGAAGUGGAGAACUACUGAAUAGUUGUGAGACCUAAAACAGAACAUCAGCAAUUGUUGACACUUAAGUCCCCAGAAAGUAUAUCCCAAAGACCUCUUCUCUGGUUGAAAUUAGAAAAAAAAACGAUUCAGACUGUUUUAUCUUCUCAGAUUUUUGGUUUUGCCUUGCACUAGAUACUGCAGUUCAGAAUUGUGCAAUUGGUGGCGUGUCUACAGGGCAGAGACCUUUGCUCUUGAUGGGUAUCCUUCUCUAUUCUGCUUAUCAUGGCACAGAGCUGAGUGGUAUCUCAUCUAGACACUGAGAGUUUUGCUCAAUGCUUUACACGGGAACUAAUCACAUAAAGGGUUAGGAUCUUAGCCUUAUGAAGACAUCAUGUCUUCUCAUGACACAGAAUGGAAAGUCAUGCUAGAGGUCCCAGAUCUCUGGAGGGUACACAACAUGCAGUAGAGUCAUAAAACAUGUUAAUUCUCUUACAUUUUCCUCUUAGAAGUUUCCUUUAUUUUCACAGAAAGUCGGGUCUGAUGACCUAAACUAAGCAUGCUGACAUCAAAUUUCCAGAUUCUGGGAUACUCACAUUAUUUUGCUACUUAAAACCACAUUGAGCUUCCAACAGUUAUUCAGAAGAGCCCCUGUGCAGGCAAGUAUCCCAUCAGUUUAUGGCAGGCUCUGAAAAAAUUUACUUGAAUGGGAGCUCUGUUGCCUUUUGAGCAGAGUGGUUGCCUGAAACAAAUUUACUGUACAGUAAGUUGUAUUUCCUGAGGUAACUAAGUUCCCGUCUAAUGGCCUUAGAGUGCAGCUCCCAGGAGUCAUAAUGCUUUUUGCACACAAGCUUGCAAGGGCUCAGUGCAGACUUGGGCAAAUAAACCCCUCUGUGCACAAAGGGUUCUAGAAAUCUCUUGCAGACAAUCCAAACAACAUAGCCUUCCCACUCUUUACCUUUCCCUUAGCUUAUACUUCUGAGUUUUUGUUAACAUUUAAAAAAGAUAUUAAAGCUGCAUUUUGUUCACCUUGUAAAAUGAAAGAGUACAUUGUACAGGCACUGGAGGUACACGUCAGUGCUUUUAUCAAGUCAGGGGCCUGCUCUGCAGCAUUAAUUGGAAACAUGUGUUGAAAAUUCAGGGCAGGUUUCUCAGUGUCUCUUUAAUUUAGUAGAAUAAAAUAAGAACUAAACUCACAUUUCUUUAUGAGGCCAGUCUGUUGGAGUUGUUCUAUUAGCAGGUCUGAUGGAUGACUCUGAUGGACAAUACUGGUACCUGUGUUUAGGCUGCUGGGAUGCUGGUAGUUGUUCUAUUUAAGACCUUAUUCAUGGUUCUACUACACUUUCAGGCACCAUUAUAGAGGACUUGUUGUAACUGAUUCUCUGAAAGUUAGCUGAGGGAUGCUGAUAGAAAGCAUAAUUGAUUUCAAAGACACCGGAUGACCGACACAUGAAAGAUUUUCAAAUAGCCAUAUGUCAGAAGCUAAAUCUGCAAAGUCUCACCAGUAUGACUGCCUAAACAUGACCUGAAGAAAGAGAAGAACAGAAGACAUGACAAAAUGGACAGGGGAAGGACAGUGAAGCCUCACCCUACACUAAGACCUACAGGAAACAAAUGAGUAUGGAAAGUGAGAGAAUUAGUCUUCUCCAGGGAAGAGCACAUCAAUUGGUUGUAUGUUAUGUGUAGCUUUUUGCUACCCCACCUAUGCUCCAGGAACGGACCUAGCUACCAGACCCCUCCCAGCUUCCCAUGAAUCCACGCAUAAAACACACACACACAGUUCAUUUUCUUUCUUUCUUUCUUUCUUUCUUUCUUUCUUUCUUUCUUUCUUUCUUUCUUUCUUUCUUUCUUUCUUUCUUUCCUUUCUUUCUCUCUCUCUCUCUCUCUCUCUCUCUCUCUCUCUCUCUCUCUCUCUCUUUCUUUCAAUUGUCAUCAGGAUGUUUACUGGAUAUUUUCUUUAUUUACAUUUCAAAUGUUACUCCCUUUCCCAGUUUUCCCCCUGGGAACUCCCUAUUCUAUGUUCCCUUCCCCUGCUUCUAUGAGGGUAUUCUCCUACCCACUCCCACCUCCCUGCCCUCUAAUUCCCCUACACUGGGGCAUCGAUCUUCACAGGACCAAGGGCCUCUCCUUCCAUUGAUGCCCAAUAAAGCCAUCCUGUGUUGCAGUAUUUUCCCUAUCCAAUUACAUUAGGGAAGCAAGAGGCUUGUGAUUGAACAGGGAAAAGGGAGGCGGAGCUAAGAGUUGCAGAGACAGAGAAUGUCUAGAAAGGAGAAGUGAACACAGGUUCACUUCCUUCUCCAUCCUCACCUUCUCCUUUCUCUUUCUGAGACACUCUCUGUCUCUGUAACUCUUAGCUCCGCUCCCUUUUCCCUGUUCAAUCACAAGCCUCCUGCUGCCCUAAUGUGACUGGACAGGGAAAAUCCUGCAACAAUCCUCUACUACUAUGUGGCUGGAGCCCUGGGUGCCUCCAUUUGUAGUUAAGAAAUAGUAUUCAUUUCAAUAUUACUACAUUGCUCUUUUUUUUUAAUUUUCAUUUAUUUAUUUACUUACAUCUUAAAUGCCGCCCUCACCUGGUCCCUCCUCACAGCAAUACUAACCCCAUUGCUCCUCCCCUCCCCUCUGAGACAUUGGGUCACCACUGGGUAUCCUCCCAUCCUCUCACUGUAAGUCUUUGCAGGAUUAGGCACAUCCUUUCCCACUGAGGACAGACAGGACAGCUCUGUAGGGGAAGGGAUGCCACAGUCAAGGUACAGCUUUAGGGAGAGCCUCUGCUGUAGCUGCUGGGAGGCCCACAUGGAGACUGAGCUGCACGUCUGCUACAUAUGUUUUUUGGUUGGUGGCUCAGACUCUGAGGAGCUUCUAGUGGUCCAAGAUCAUUGACUCUGUUGGUAGUCCUGGGUCGUUCCCAUCCCCUUCAGGGCCUUCAGUCCUUCUCCCAACACUCCCAUAAGAGUCCCAGACUUCCAACCAAUAUUUGACUGGGGGUAACUGCAUCUGUUUUUGUCAACCGCUGGUGAGAGCCUUUCAGAGGACAGUUAUGCUAGACUCCUGUCUGUAAACAUAAAAAAAUAUCAAUUAUAGUGUCAGGAGUUGGUGCUUGCCCAUGGGAUGGGUUUCAAGUUCAGCCAUUUAUUGAUUGGCCAUUCCCUCAGUCUCUGCUCCACCUUUGUCUUGCAAUUAAUUUAGACAGGACAAAUUUUGGGUUGAAAGUUUUGAGGGUGGGUUGAUGUAUCCAUUCCUCCAUUGGGGGUCCUGCCUGGCUGCAGGAGGUGCCCUCUUCAGGUUCCAUGUUCCCACUGUGUCUCCUCCCUGGUUUUAGUGAGAUUGCUUCAUGUUUCUCUCCAUUUAAUUUGAUGUUGGCUGUUGGUUUGCUGUAUAUUGGUUUUUAUAUGUUUAGGUAAGUGCCCUGAAUCACUGAUCUCUCCCAAGACUUCUAACAUAAAGGGGUGUAGGAUUGUGGAAGGUUUUUUUUUCUGCAUUCCAUAGGAUUAUGAUAUGAUUUUUUUCUUUCAAUUGGUUUAUAUAGUGGGUUACAUUAGUGGAUUUGCUUAUAUGGAACCAUCCUUGCAUUCUUGGGGUGAGGCCUACUUGAUUGUGGUGAAUAAUGAUUUUGAUGUGUUCCUGGAUUCUGUCUGUGAUAAUUUUCUGGGUAUUUUUGUGUCAAUGUUUAUAAGUGAAAACAGUCUGAACUUCUCUUUCUGUGUUGAAUCUUUGUGUAGUUUAGGGAUCAGGAUAAUUGUGGCCUCAUCAAAUGAAUUAGAUAGUGUUCCUUCUGUUUUUAUUUUUGUGGAAUACUCUGAGGAGCAUUGGUAUUAGCUCUUCUUUGAAAGUCUGGUAGAAUUUUGCACUAAAAUCACCUUGCCCAGGGCUUUUUUGGUUGGGAUAUUUUUAAUGACUGCCUCUAUUUUCUUAGGGGUUAUAGGACUGUUUGGAUAGUUUUCCUGAUCUUGAUUUAACUUUGGUAAGUGGUAUCUGUCUAGAAAAUCAUCCAUUUUGUUUAGAUUUUCCAUUUUUGUGGCAUAUAGGCUUUUGAAGUAUGACCUAAUGAAUUUUUAAAAUUUCCUCUCUUUCUGUUUUUAUGUAUUCCUUUUCAUUUUGAUUUUGUUAAUUUGGAUACUGUCUUUCUGUCUUUCAGUAAGUUUGGACAGGGGUUUGUCUAUCUUUUUGAUUUUCUUAAAAACCAGCUCCUGAUUUUGAUGACUCUUUUAUAGUUCUAUUUCUUUCUAAUUGAUUGAUUUCAGCUCUGAGUUUGACUAUUUCCUUUUGGGUGUGUUUACCUCUUUUUGUUCUAGAGCUUUUAGGUGUUUUGUUAAGUUGUAAGAAUGAGAUCUCUAAUUUUUUUAUGAAGGUACUUAGUGGUAUGAAUUUUCCUCUUAGCAUUGCUUUCAUUCUGAUUCCAUCAGUUUGAAUACGUAGUGCUUACUUUUCCAUUGAAUUCUAGAAAGUAUUUAAUUUCUUUCUUUCUUUCUUUCUUUCUUUCUUUCUUUCUUUCUUUCUUUCUUUCUUUCUUUCUUCCUUCCUUCCUUUCUUCCUUUCUUCCUUCCUUCCUUCCUUCCUUCCUUCCUUCCUUUCUUUCUUUCUUUCUUUCUUUCUUUCUUUCUUUCUUUCUUUCUUUCUUUCUUUCUUUCUUUCCUGACCAAGUUAUCCCUGAGUAGAGAGUUGUUCACUUUCAGUGAGUAUGUGGGAUUUCUGUUGUUAGGUUGUUUUCAGUGAGUAUGUGGGUUUUCUGUUGUUAGUUUGUUGUUGAGAUCCAGCCUUAAUUCCUGGUGAUCUGAUAAAAUGCAUGCGAUUAUUUCAAACUUUUUCUUACUGUUGAGGCUUGCUUUGUGCCCUAUUAUAUGUCAAAUUUUGGAGAAAGUUCCUGUGGUGCUAAGAAGAAAAUAUAGUUUUUUGGGGGGGUGGAGAGGGAAGGUCUAUAAAUAUUUGUUAAAUGCAUUUGGUUCAUAACCCAUUAGUUCCAUUGUUUCUCUUUUUAGUUUCUAUCCUUGAGAGUGGGAUGUGGAAGCCCCCUACCAUUAUUGUGUGGCGCUCAAUGUGUGAUCUGAGCUUUAGUAAUGUUUCUUUUGUGAGUCUAGGUUUCCUUGCUUUUGGGGCAUAGAUGUUAAGAACUGAGUGGCCACCAGAUUGUUAAUUUCAUGUGUGAAUGCUUUUUGGUAUGAAUCAAAGUUAUAGCAUUUCCAAAGAUGUUGGAUGUUUAAUUGGUGAGCAUUUCCAAUGAUGCUUGAUGUUUUAUUGGUGAAUGUUCCUGGGUAUGAAGUACAGUUUGAUGAUGUCCCACACAGCUUACGAAUGAAGGAGCUGCACAGCCUACAGACAGAUCUGAACCCUUUGGGUGUACAUGGUUGUGCCUGCCUCAUGUCUCCUUCCAAAUUUUUACCCAGAGCAUAGAUCCAACUAAGUCAUCUCUAUCCUUCCACUGCAAAUCUUCUAGAUCUGUACAUUAACAUCCCCUGAGCUUUAUAUGGCACAGAUUUCCCUUCAGACAAACUUCAAGGAUUCUUGAAGGCGAGUUCAAAACUUCACUUAUAGAAUUUUUCUGGUCUCUCAACUGUUCUCUAACUUUCUCAAAGAAAUGAGAGUAUAACAAUAUUCUAGGGUUGUGAUGGAGAAAUGGACUUCAGAAAUGGCAAUAUUUAGGGGAUGAAGAGAUGGCUCAGUGGUUAACAGAAGUUCUCAGCACUCACAUCAAGAGUCUAUAACUCCACCUCCUGACAAUCCAGUGCCUUCUGGCCUAUAUAGAGACCUACACUCAUGAUACAAUCCUUCCCCAUACAAACACAGAAAGAAAGAAAUGUAAAUCUUUAGAAAAUAGCAAUAUUUUAUAUAGUUCUGAAGAAAAUACCACUUUUGUUAUUGUAUUUUUUCUAAUGUAACUCUUGCUGAAUAUACAAAUCUUACUAAACUUGAAUAAUCUUUGAUAAAUUAUUGCAUAAGAAAAGCUGUAUCUGGGCUGGUAAGCUAGUUUGCUCAGUGGGUUAUGAGUGCUUGACAUGACACCUAACAACUUGAGUUCAAUCUUCUGAUUGCUUGACAUACAUGAGCUCACACUCAUACACCUACCAUAGAGCAAGCAAUCAUUUUUAUGUUUGACCUACUGUUAAUACCUGACUACACUUUUGUAAUGCAGUGUAUCUACACUGGCUUAGUUAGACAGGUUUCCUGGAAGUCUCACUGUAUGGACUGGGCUCUAGCUUGCAGAGCAGACUCAGUUAUGAUCUGUAAGUCAUCAUAGGCCAGGCAUGGGGAACAGCAACUCCCUGGAGAAUUGCUACUUGAAAUCUUUCGAAAAUAAAAUGUAUUAAAUUUUCUUGCUAGUUUAGUAACACUCCUGCCCCUACUUAAAGAGCCAUUUAAGUAAUAAAAGUCCUGGAAGGGAAGGAAACAGGAAGUGUUUCACAGUAUGCAUACAUUAGAUCUAGCUCUGAAAAGCAAAGUAUCAGGGCCACAUCAGGCAACGCCUUCCCUCAUCAUGAGUCCGGAGAAUCCUCUUCUCUCUGCCAGUUUGCUAGGAGUUGUUGAUGAUGAUUCUGAUUUUUCUUCCUCUUUUUCCUCUUCCUCUUUCUCUUCUCCUUCUCUUCCUUCUCCUUCUAUUUCUUCUUUUCUUCUAUUUCUCUUCUCUUCUAUUUCUUCUUUUCUUCUAUUUCUCUUCCUCCUCAUCUUCCUCUUCUUCUUUCUUCCUUCUCCCUCCUCCUUCUUUUAUUUUCCUUUUAGUUUCUUCCUAAAUUACAUAUUGGCUUCUCCAGAAAAUACACGUUUAAACAAGCCAUGCACCCAUCUCAUUUCAUUUAAUUUUCUGGUCUCUCAGUCUCAUCACCUUGACUAGGACUAGGAAGUGAGGCAGCAGGAAAUUGUAUAAAACAAUGUGUAACAUAUUGGCUAGCUAUGGCUCAAAAUCCUAAAAUCCACUAUCAAUUUUUUUUUUUUUUUUUUGGUGGUGGUGGUGAUGGGGAAAUCCCUAUCUAGAAAGAUCUGACCUACUUUCCUUGCUACUUUGGUUCCUGUAGCUCUGCUUUUGAAUGAAGGGCUUAUUUGUAGGUGCUGCAUGUUGUUAGCAGGAAUUCAGACAUAAGCAAUCAAGGCAUACAGGCCACCACUAAGUAACAGAAAACAGCAAACAAUCAAUAAAUCUUCCUUGUUUUUGCUUUCAACUAUGAGUAGUUCUCAAAAAAUAAAUAAAUAAAAAGAAUUUCUUCUAAGAUCCUAGUGAGAACACAUGACAUCAACAUGGUCGCCAUCAUGGUGGGGCAUCUAAGCAUGACCCUCUCCUUUCAUGUUGUCACACUUUCUUGACUUCUGGAUGAUAUCUCUAUGACAAUUACUUUCAGAAAUAUCCUUAUCACUCUCAUAGCUUUUGGCAAAGAGCACAGUUCGAAGGCAGAGUUUUUAGACAUAAACAUUAUUUAAUCUACUCCCAUUUGACUGGCUACUAUAUCCAAGAUCAACAUUAAAUUUCAAACUCUCUAUAAGUAUAGCAAACAGUUCAAGAUUCAUCCACAUUCCUUCAACUGAAACUUCGGUCACCAAAAUCUCUCAUGAUUUUUUUGUGGAAAAAACACUCCUCUAUCAAUAUGGAGGUAGGGGUGAUUCUCUCUUGAAGAAUUUAGAGUCUUUAGGGUCAAUGAGAUCUUGGUGUGAAAAUCUACUCUACUCUGUGAUACUGUGGGAUGAGAAUUUCUGAUGGAGUUCUUCAAAGGAUGGUAGGGAAAAAAAUUAACAGGUGAGCAGUAAUAUUCAUGUUGAAUUUUAUUCAAAUAUGGGGGAGGAAAAAAAUCAUGUGUAAAUGAAAGGAUUAUCAGGCAGUUUAAAACGUGAGCCAAGCGUAGUCCAUAUAGUGUUGUAUACUGAGGACAUAAGAAAGUUACUGGCCAGAAUAAGAGAAAGCAGACAAUCAUUUCAGGGCACUCUUUACCAUAAGGAUACAGAGAAAAUCAUUUUAAGUUAACUCAUGUAAUAUCUAUAAUGAUGUUUCAUCUAAAGAAUUUGCUAGAAAAGUCACACCCCUUGUUAAGAAUGUAAAUCAGGACAAUAGCCAUAAAUGUGUGCAGGGGAAGUCUUGUGGGUGUCAUCGUUCCCCUUAUAAUAUUAUUAGCAUGAAGCAGAACUGUAACUGUGGUUUCUGGGAAAUCAACUCACAGGAAAAUUAAGGAGGCUAAUGUUGAAUCUAGAUGUCAGCUACUUGUGAAGGAUUCUAAAAAUGACGCUUGAGUAUAAGGAUUACACAAAAGAGUGAUGGUUGAUUUUCCGGGUCAAGUCUAGCGUAAGUCUCAUGGAGCCACAUUUUUUUUUUCCUUAUUCUUAGAUAUCCCCAAAGAGCUUUGUGAAUUCACAGUUAACUAUAGGGUAGUUUCAGCCUUGUUUUGAGGGCCCCAGGCUUCAUUUCCUACAACAUGUGCUCUGAGGGCAAAGGGUGCUUACUUGUUUUGCUCACCACCAUAGCUAAUGCCAAGAACAAAAACUAGCACAAAUGUUCAGAAACUGUUUGUAAAAUGAAUAGAUUUAUCUUUUAUUUCUCCAGAUGGCCCAGGUCUGUACUUGAUGUAUAACCUUUCCUUGGUAAACAUUUGUUGGGACAAACACCCAAUAAAGAGUUGUUUGGCUCAAAAAACACGGAGUGCUGUACUUUAUAAAUUUGAUUAUAGGUCGUGAAGCAAACCUUUUCUAAAGUAGAUCGCUGACCUUUUAAAAUUAUAUAAUAAAGACACCUAUGCUUAUGCAGGGCCCCUUUUUUCUUCCCUAAUGAACUCUGUACCUUAUCUGUUGCCAGCCCCAACUUAUAAAUUUUAAGCUGAAAAAAAAUCCUUCCAAAAUGAAAUCCAUUUGUCUUAGAAGUGGGGAUACGAACAUUCAAAGAGUCACAAUGCAUUGAAAGUCUGUUUCUGUGCUUUUCAAGUCAGCCAGUGGUCUCCAGAGCAUUUAUUUUUCGGGUGCAGACAGUGGAAACCACAGACGUAAACAUGGCCUGGAAUAGGAGGAUCUGAACACAUUGUAGAGUGUUGUUUACAAUGUGCAUGAAACAGAAUGCCAUGCUUUUCUUGUCUCCAAAGAUAUGAACAAUUUGUGCUUAGAGGCUGUAUGCAUUAUUUUAUAACCAAGUGAAUCAAUGCAAUGCAGAGAUGGAUAAAAAUAUCUGUUGGCCCACACACAUGAAAUAAAAAUCCAAAAUGUCAAAAUAUGAUGAAUUCUAUGGGUGCUAUUGCUAGUAUUACUUUGGGAAGAUACUCAUCACUGAUUUUUCUCAUUUACUCUACACAUACUGGUUGUGUACUUUUUAAUUAUUUGUAUUCUGUCCCAUAUUUUCAAGUUCCUUGGAAAGAGCUAAGUUACAUGCAUCUUAAAUUAUAGCAAACACAAUAGUAUAGCAACAUUCAUGCAUGACUAAGGAGGAAUUUGUGCUUUAGUAUUGUAUUUGUAAUUGAUACAUUUAUAAAUAUACGGAUUUUUCUUAAGUGUAACCUAUCAAAAAAUUGAAAUGUGAUAAAAAUUUCAUUCUUUUAAAGUUUUAUUUUUAUUGUAGUCCAGGCUAGCCUGGAACAGCAAUCCAGGCUGACUUUGAAUUCAUGGAAAACUUGCCAGCAGCUUUGGCCUUCCAAGUCAUGAGUAUAUAAGCACAACCCAUACAUGGAUAAAAUGUAGGAAAAUUCUCUCUCUCUCUCUCUCUCUCUCUCUCUCUCUCUCUCUCUCUCUCUCUCUCUCUUUCUCUCUCUCUCUCCUCACAUGUACUUGUAAGUCUGUUUAUAACUUUUCCCAUUAGCUUUGGUAAUAAAAGUAAAUCUGAUAUUUAAAAGUCACACAAAACCAAAGGUGAUGAUAUAGGUAGUUAAGAGCUGAGUGUUGAAAACUGAACCUACAGUUAGUAAUCAAACACUCAACUUAUGAGCAGAGAAGAAAGUAUAACCCAAGAAGCCAAAUAAUACGUGGGUAGAAUAAAGGAAGACCACACUGCACAAAUGAUGUCCCAAAAGCCAUGAGGAAAAAGAUA
rnacentral:lncRNA from 1 species